rnacentral:lncRNA from 1 species
GAUAUAAUCAAAGUGUUUUUCUUUUAAUUAUAUUAUCUUAUAAGCAUAUAGAGAAGCAGAUUUAUUAUACAUAGUGCAGGAGGUGGAUCCAUAGCUGUACACACACACACACACACAAAAGAACUUAGAAGACUCCUUAGAACAACAAGCAGUUCGCUGGGGGGGAUCUGAACCUAAGGGCUGACACAAUCCACAAGCAUGGACAAAGCUACUUCGGUGCAAGGCAGACGUACAGACCGAGGCUUGGCCCGUAUUGCCUGGCUCAGAGGACGGCCAUCGGGUUCGCUGGCUCGCUCCGCCUCCGCCCUCGGGGUCGAACUCCCGGAGAGAGCAGCACGACCCUUGUCCCGCAGCUUCGCGAGCUCGGCCGUCCACGUAUCCACUAGGUUGGACAUCGUAGCAGAGACGAAAGCAAGAACAAUGGCAAGCAACAGCUCUAGAAGACACUGCAAAGCGUACCAGCUACGAUUAGGAUGGUGAGGCCCGGCGAAGGCUUAAAAAGAGGGGCAGCCGAGCUUAUCCACUCUGAAACCAGUGAGCCUAUAAGAGUGGUUUUUGUGGGUGUCGGCAGGUUCUUAGGUGCCGGAGAUAUUUUGCAUCACGUUCAUCCUAGAUAAGUCUCUUCAUUAAAAUAAGGCAAAUUUCAUAUACAAAUAUAGAUAUUUAGCUUACAGACCCUUUAAUAAGACAAACAACUGAGUUCUUAUCCAAACACUAAUAGAGAAUAAUUAAUACACAUGACGAGGCAUGCCCACAUGUCGAAUUCUAACAGCACAAAUGAUAUUUUCAUUAUCAAAAGCAAUCGACUACCCGACACGUGGAGCCCUAAAUAUCCACGUGGCUAAGCUUGCCGCGUUGGUUCAAAGCGGGCAAUCCACGUCUCCGCGACUUGCAUAGUGCCCAGUCGCUGCGAUCUGGUGCGUUGAUACGCAGCAGUUUUCUUCUCUUACUCGAUCAGAUCCAACGACUUCUACGGCCAAUAUUUAUCGUUCGCAAAGUAGGGAAGCGGCGAUUGAGCGCCUCUCUGUGAUCCUUCACUUCGAGCGCCGAACGAAGGCGGAUCGGAAGCGACUCGAUCGGAGAGAUCUAAACCCUAGCGAAUGGAGGAGGAGGAGGAGGAGGAGGGCCGCAAGAGUCCUCCCAAGAACCGGGAAGAGAAGCCGCAAGGAGGCGGCGGAGGCGGAUGGGGCAGCUGGGGUAUCUCCUCUUUCUCCAUGUUCUCGGAACUCCAAAAGGCCGCGGAAGACAUCUCCAGAAAUGUACGUGAUCUUCUGCUGUUUCUUAUUCGAUUAUUAUGUCUACUUUUGCAUCUUAAAUUGGGUCGGCAAAUGUGUGAAGAAUUUGGUAAAUGAAUCGUUUUCUUGUUUGGGAUUCAGGCAGUUGAAGUCGUUAAGAAUGCAACCAAAGGCAUCACCGACCUGGAGAUUGCGGGUUCAGAUUCCGAAACAACCGAUGAGGUCUCGAAGGAUUCCAGAGGGGGAGAAGAAGAAGAAGAGGAGGAGGAGGAGCAUGUGCACGAUAGACUUCGCAAGUCCGCGCUUGAUAAACUGGAGAAAGCUAGUGAGGAUUCUCUGUUCGGUCAGGUGAAUCAAUCAUUCGAGAGAUGGAGAUCCGCUGCAAUGAAUUUAUAUGAUUUCAUAUUGGGAUACAUAUUAUGCAUCUUUUGUCCUGUCAUUUGGUGGUGAUUCUUUGACAUGCUUGUUUGUAGGGUCUCAAGGUACUUGACAAUUCAGUGGAAACUAUUGCUUCAGGAGCAUGGAGUGCGUUGGGUAGUGCUUGGAAAGGGGGUUCAAGCCUUGUCAGCAAGUACGCAAUUUCAUUUCUCUGUCCAUUAUGUAGUACAUCAUUGAACAUGUUAUACUUUAAACUGAGAAAUACUCUCUCUAAAUAGCUGAGAUGAAUGCAUAGACAUUUGCAGUUCCGUAGCUCUUGUGUUCCUCGUUUAUAUCAUACAUCAACCACUGAAAAUUCAAUCGACACUUUCAGACAAGUCUGAAUAUUAUGUACAUCUUAAGCUAGUGGACUAACUCGAUUGGUGCAUGGUUGUUCUUGCAGAAGCAGUUGCAUUUUGUUGAAAUGGAAAAAGAUGUAUUAUAUCUUGCAAUUUUUAACACCUUUGGCCACUGUUGUUUAAUUCUUUAUGUUCCUAAUAAUUUAAAUGCCAUAAUUUGGAUCAUUUACAAUAGUUGAACCCAUCUUAUUUGGGUUUCUUCCAAGUUCUAACCCAGUUUGAUAUGUUAUCAACCAUUGGAGAAUGAUUGAGUAUCAGCUUUAUGUGCCAUCGUGCAUUAUUAUUGAGUAUCAGGAAGAUAUUUUAUGUUUAUGUAUCAUGGAUUUAUUACCUGCUAAAGAGAUGACAAUUGUCAUUUCAACUUCUGUUUAGUAUUCCUAUAACCAUCUUUAAUUCCGAGCCAGCCAGAGAUUUGGAAAUUUCGUGAUGUGUAUCAUAUCAAUUCACAUGUAUGCUAUCUCAGAACGGCUGUCCCUGGAUGUUUAUCUUUUUAGGCUCUACUUUUGGAGCUAAUUAAUUUGGAGUAGUCUUUCUACAUUCUUUCUGUUUAUUCUUUUGUGAGCAGCAAAACUAUCUUGGUGUUGUACGUUAAUUUUCAGUAAGUUUAACUACCUGACAUGAAGCUGUGUCUUUCAGGUUGGAGCUUUCUGCUGCGAGUCUAGCUGAUUCCAUUCACCAGGGAAACCUGCCGGGCAAAGCCACUUUUUUGCUCCAUCAGUUAUAGAAGUCAGUUUCCUUGUCAACCAAAAAUUCCUUCACACAUGCCACCAGUAUUGGCUUGGCUUUUUAUGUUUCUCUCCGUAGGUUGAUCAUUUCAUCCUUGUUUUUGCAAUAUAGACUGGUAAGACUUUUACAACUAAGGGGAUGGAAGUGCUUGAGCGGGUUGGAAAAGAGACUAUGGAGCUGCUCAUUGCAGAGACUGGUCUUGAAUUUGAGAAGAGUCCUAAUGAGGUUCACCAAGAAGAUGAUGAGGAACAGUUGGAGGAAGUUACAUUUGAUAGGUGCUUUUAUAUUUAUGGAGGUCCUGAUCUGCUUGAGGUACUACUUAGUGGGAUUCUUACCAGAAUACCAGUGGUUUAUGCUUGUAGUUGACUCUUCCUAAAGUUCACUAAAUAUUUGGAUGCAGGAACUGGAAGCACUGUCAAGCCAUUAUGCUUUGUUGUUUAACAGGAGAAAAGCAAAACUUUUAGCAGAACAGAAAUCCCUUUAUGAUGCUAAACUACAACAGAUCCAGCAAAUCUUCAGUCUGACGGCUGAUGUUGAAGGAAAUAGUGAAGAUUCGAAUAAAGGAAAAAAUAUUGAGACCUUAAGUGGCGACAGUGAUGUCGAGAUGACAAAGUUAUGUGAUUCAAGUGUCAGGAGAGCUGCUGAUAUUGCCUCAGGGUAAUGCAAUCAGAAUAGUUAAUUUACUUGAUGCUGUCUAUCACUCAAUUUAAAACUCAUGAUAGGUAACUAAUUCUUUGAUAUGAUUGCAUCUCUCAGUGACUUACCUAAAGCGACAUAUGAUUGUGAUGGUCCAUGCUGAAUUUAAGUCUGAACUAGCUAUAUAAGUAUUAUGUCACGUUCUGCUAAUUUUGUUAUCCUAUACGGUUAAACUUCCUUGCUCUUAAUGUUUUCUUAUCAUGGAUCAUUGAUUGUGUCAGGUUCACACCAGUUCUUGGAGGACUUUCAGCAAAUGAUAUAAUUCAACGGGCUACUGACAGACUUGAUACAAUGCACUCAGAGUGUAUCCAUGUGCAAAUUUGACGAGGAACUAUAUCUUUUUGUUGUCCUCAUGUUGUACCUCAUCACUGAUUCAUUGCAUUUCAAAUGCAGAGACUGUCAGAACUUUGCUGCUCUGCGGUAUCUCAACUUCUGAUUCUUGGAAAAUCAGUUAUCUCUAGUGCAAACAAAGGAAAGAAUGGAGAAACAGAAGGAGAAACCCCAAAGAUUGAUUGGCCCGAAGAGGCUGUCUCAAAAGCUAAGAUCAUCAGACACAAGGCCCAAUCCAUGUCUGGAAACAUGGAAACAGUUUCUAACAGCUUUAUUACAGGUGUGUUAGAUGAUUGAGUUAAAUGAAUUGUUUAUUUUACUUAUUUGUGCUUUCUCUAGGAGACCAGAUGCUAUCAAAUAGCUUAUGUUACUUUACUGAUUUCUAAAAUAUAAGCUGUCUAAUUAAUGCUUUUGCUAAUAGAAAUGCACACAAUCAGGAACAUUUAAAAAUGAUCUAGCAGAUUUGUUGCCUUUUUUAAUUUGUCUGAAAUUUCUAAUCACAUUAAUGGGCAUUAUUUUUCUAGGAACCUCAGAAAUAGUAGAAGCUUACCUGACAGCUAUACUAAGUGUUUCUUCUGAUAAGCAAGAACUCCCGCAGAGUACUGUACAGGAAAAGGCCAAUGAUAUAACAAACCAUCUCCGAGCUGGUGGAGCCACCGCUGCCGAGAAAAUUCAGGAUGCCCUCCAGUACCUGGCGUACGUGGUUCUCUUUACCUCCAUGCCAACUGUAUAAUAUUCGUGAACGAUUGAUGAGUUCUCUACUUUGUUUGGUGUACUGAUGUCUGUACAUGGUUUAGUUAGCCAGAUUGAAUUAAGCUAAAUCCUUGCACUGCCUUCCCAGUUUGUGGAUUAUAUUUUUUGCAUGGUUUUGGUGUUAUUCAAAUCUUGUUGUGGUUUAUGAUUGUUGUGCUAGGUGUUCGAUCUUCUUUGCAUCUUGUUAUUUGUGCAUAACUUAUGUAAACUUUUGUAAGAUCUCAAAUCGAUUUUGUUGGAAACAAACUCAUGAAAGUCGAACACUAUCCAAUCUUAUCACGUAGAUAACUGAAGAGAAAUUUAAGCAGCUAAAGCUUUCGUUGACUGAACACGGUGCAGCUCUAUCAUGAAUGGUUCACUUCUUGUUCCCAUCGAAUGUAUCUUUUACUUCAAACCUAGAUUUCCAAUUUGAAAAUCUCCAAUUGGCAAUCUUGGUGGAGUAUACGAUCUUUCGCACUAAAAUUAUAUUAUGGCACUAUAUAAAGGAUGCCGGUUAACUUUAGCACUUUAAUCAGUGUUUCUCACUUUAUGAAUAAAUUACUUGGUAUGAUGAUAUAUUAUGGAUUUCAAAACAAUAAUAAUUCAACACUUAUCUUAAUUCAAAUUGAUUUAAUCUUAAAUUACUGACAAAUUAUUAUUAGAUCAACUAUUAUAGAAAGAUCUUAGUUGGUAAAAAUCUUGACAGUUUAUCGUUGGACAAAGACUCCAAUCUAAUUUUCGUCAUUUAUUUUUAGAAAAAAUAAAAAAAUAAAUCAUUAAUUGAUACAAAAGAUUAACUUGUUAUUUGAUGAUAAAAAUAAUUUAUCAUUUUUUUUCUAAAUUUAUUUUAAAAUUAUGUAUCAUCUCAUGUAGGGAUAAUUAUAGAUUGGCCCUCAUAGUUAGUCACGUUUAGUAUACCAGGCUUUAUAUUUUAAAAAAAAUAUUGGUAUCCAUAUAGUUAGUGAAACACUUAUGUUUAUUUUUCCUAAUGACAUUAGUUUUACUAACAAAAAUAUAAAAAAGGAUAAAAAAAGUAAAUUUAACAUUCUGAUGAUAGUGAACAAUGUCGAUGGUGGUGGACAGCGACGCCGCUGGUGCCAAUGCUAACACUAAUGUAAUUACCAAAUGACCUUUCCCCCUCGACGUCCUCCUCUGGUCGACGAUGACAGCGACGACAACUAGAGAGAUGAGUGCGAGGGGGAGAGGAGGCGGUAGCCAGAGCCAUCUUCCACCUCCUCUUCCCCUUGUGCUCACCCCUUAGAGAUGUGGACGGGGCAGAGACGAUCAUGAGAACUUUGGCUGUCACCUCGUCUCCCUCUUGUGCUUACCCUUCUCAUUGUCAUUAUCGAUCGUGAGGGCUCUGACCGAUAACGGCAACAACGACAAUGGAAAGGAUGAGUGAAAGGGGAAGAGAAUGGUAACACGUUGGAUAACGACAAGAGAGAGGAGGUGGAUGACGAUGGUUACAUUAGCGCCAAAGACAUCGUCAUACAUCACCACCAAAAUAUUAAAUUUAUAUUUAAUAUUUUUUAUAUUUAUAUUUUUUUUAUUAAUAAAAUUAAUAUCGUUAAGAUAAAUAAAUCUAAAUAUUUUACUUUUAUAAUUAUAAAAAAAUUAAUAUAUAUAUUUUAAAGUAUUAAGGCACAGAAUCCGAAAGGUGGCUAACUUAAUUAGCCCUCCCACGUAUAAUCUAGCCACCACUGGAUAACGGCAUCUGUAUGUCUAACUCGGUCUUCUGAAUGUGGGGCGUGUCGUGAUUCCCCUUCCCUUACAAAAGCGGACGAUCGACGCGUCUCCGCAAUGGAGGAUCGCCACCUCCUCCCAUCUCCCCCACCGCCACAGCAGACCCGAACGGGACCAGCCCGAGUAUCCGCGGCCGCCCGCAGCGGUCCGCGAUGGUGCACGAGGACGGGGUCGACGGGCAACCGCAGCCGCAGCCGCAGCAGCAGCAGUACAAGCGCCUCGGCGGCCUAGUCGUUGGCAACUAUUGCCACGACGUCCUCUUCCGAGGCGAUCUCCCCGUCGGUGAGACCCUCGGUGGCGCUGCUUCCUUCGUCUCUAACGUCCUCGACGCCCUCGCCCCUUCCACCUCCCUAUACGUCGCCAAGGUCGGCGCCGACUUCGCGUACGCCGCCCCCCACCCUCCCCGCGUCGUCUCCUCCUCCUCCCACACCACCCUUUUCCACGCCCACUUCCCACCUGUCCCUGCCGCCGGAGGGUACCACGGCGAUCGCGUCCUCCGCCGCGUCCGCGCUUGCGACCCGAUCUUGCCCGCCGACCUUCCCGACGACAUUCGGUUCGACUACGGCCUGGCGGUCGGCGUCGCGGGGGAGAUCCUCCCUGAGACCCUCGCCCGCAUGAUUGACCUCUGCCGCGUCGUCCUUGUGGAUGCCCAGGGGAUGAUCCGGUCCUUCGACCCUGUCGAUGGCACGGUCAGGCUCGUGCCGCUCAGGAGCACCGAAUUCUUCCACCUUCUCCCGAGAAUUGGGUUCCUCAAGGCCUCCGCGGAGGAGGCGCCCUUUGUGGACAUCGAAGAGGCGCGAAAGUGGUGCUGCGUCAUCGUGACUCACGGGAAGGACGGGUGCCAGGUCUACUGGAAGGACGGGGAGCUGCACGUAUCGCCAUUCCAAGCAGAUCAGAUCGAUCCCACGGGAGCUGGGGAUAGUUUCAUGGGUGGGUUUGUCUCUGGGCUGGUUUGGGGGCUGCCGGUACCGGAUGCGGUGCUGCUAGGGAACUUCUUUGGUUCCCUCACUGUUACGCAGAUCGGAGUUCCCAAAUUUGACCAGAGGAUGUUGCAGGUUUGGAUUUCUGUGCUUUACUGAUUCUUAAUUGCACAUCAGACCUAUAUAUCCUUUUGGUACUUAUUUGGUUUUCUUCCUUGUGCAUGUUGCUGGUUUUGAUCGAUUCUUAGGUGCUUAUUGUUUUCAAUAUCAUAUUUGCAAUACGUUCAAAUUGAAAGUCCAAUUUUACUUCUUAUGUUUCAAGGUUAUUUAGUAGAUGAAGCCAUUGGUGGGUAAUCAAAUAAAUUAAUAGUCAAAGUCAUGAGUUUCUUCAAAGAAUAAUCAUAGAAGUUGCAACAAAGUUCUCAUAUUGCUUUUUAUUCGUUUAUAGUUCAUUUUCCCAUUUUUCCUCAAUAUCCUUUUUUACUCAAUAUGUAGAUUAUAGAUGCUGUACAUCCAUCUUAUUCACAUUGAAACUGCUUUUUGCAAUUGUUGGGCCUUGGCAUACAUACCUUAGGACUGUGCCACAUAUUGAAGUGUGUUCAAUUCGUUGCAUGGAUAUUCAUUUGCACUUGGUUGGCGUUAACUUCGCAUCUAGAAUGCACCCAAUUCAUCUCUUGAGCUGAAUAUUGGAUAUUUAAAACUUUUUUUUGUCAACAUUUUAACUAACAAAAUGCUCACCAAUGACUCCUCAUGCUAUCAAAUUUUACAAAGUCCAAACUGGGAAGAUCUACCUUAGUAUAGAGGCCUCAAUGGUAGAUGUGAAUUUGAUGAAUUUACGGAGGUGGAGAGGCAGCAGAGAAACGGAUGUUGUUCCCCCUUUAAUGAGAAUUUCUGUAGUUUAGGAAGGUCAUAAUAAUAAUUUUCAAUUUUAUUAUGUCUCCUAGGAGUCGAUCAUAUGAAUUUGUUGGAAAAUUUUGCAUGGUGAUGAAGAUAAUGAAAUAAAAACAAUUCAGAUGUGUUAUACUAUUUUCAUGUUGUUAAGUUCAUGAAGUUGUAUUUAGUAUUCCAUGUAAUUUAACAUCCACACUUGUAGGCCCUGCCAGACAUGUGUUUAUGUAACACAUCAAUUAGUCUCACAUCAGAAGUGUGAUACGGUUAAGAUUGACUUAUAGGGAUCUGAUGAAUGUACUAAUAUUAAUUUCAACUUAAGCAUUUUGAUUAGUGAUUCUGGCUCAAUGAAAUUAAGAGAUCAGUUAUCAUAAUCUGGGUUGUCACAAUUGGUAUUAGAGCCGAUUUAGUAUUGGGGCAUGAUAAUGGGUUCGAGUAGGAAAGGACUACCUGGGACAUGGUCAGACGACAUGUCAUGAUAUAGAGCCAUCACUGGACUAUGCCUCAUAUGCACCAUGCUAGGGUUAAUUAUACUAUGGGAAACCCGUCUGGUCGGGUUAUGACAUUUUAUGUAUAUUUGAGUUGGACACUUAUCAAACUCUUUAAUUAUACUAUAGGAAUAUCCAAUAAUAUCAAAUACAUUAAAUGAAUCUUUUUAUGCUUCUUGGUCCUUUUGCUUCUAGGUCAUUUUUUUUCAUGCAACUUCUAAUAUACCACACUCAAAAUAUCAAAUAUCAUAUUUUCAAAGUCAUUGGCCUCCUAUGGGUUUCUGUUGGACAUGGGGGUAUGCAUCUAUAUUAUAUUCUGAUACCUCAUGUCCAUUGACAUUUGUAUCCCCUUUGAAGUACUAUUAUGUUUUUUUUCCCACUCCCACAAUUCUCUUUCUUGGUUUGAUUUCUUUGGAAAGGGUUUUCUUUUUUAGAUUUGCCCCUUGUGGUCAUUGGAAGUUUCAGGAACUGCUUUGAUUGCACUUGUCCCUCUGAUAUGUAGCACAUGUAGUGGCAAACAUAAAUUGUUGAACAUAAAAGAUGAGAUAGUGAUAGUGACGAAUAGAAAACAUUAUGGAGGUAAGUAAAUUCAUCUGUAAUUGUAAAAUGUAAACAAUUCUGUAUAUUUAGAAUAAGAUGGAAUAUGUAUCUCCCACAUGGAUCAAAUGGAAUUUAAGCCAAAAUUUGCAAGUCUAUAUUUGUCUUUUGCAUAAAAAUUUAGUAAAUGUAUCAAUGGUGCAUUAAACAGUUUCUAAAAAUUUUAAGCUGCAUAACUUGUACUCAAUAUGAAUAAAGGAAUGAACGGGGAAUUGCUAAAUAGAGCAUCGUUGUAUUAAGAGGCUCAAUACAGUCUUGGCCGACGGGACUCCAAUUUCACAGCUUCAUUAUGGGUUGAUAUCUUUAUGAAAAGUCAUUAGAAAGUCAUGUAGGAUGUGCAUGCUCAGAGCACUGUAACACUAAUAUGUUUAUUCCAUCUCUGUAUCUUUUUUUUUCUGCUUGUUUACUUGAGAAUUUUUUUCACUUGUAUAUUACUUUAUGCUUUUGGGUUGGUUUGCUUAUGGUUAAUCCAAUUGUAAAUGUUGUGAAUUGAUGUGAAAUUAUCUGAAUCCUCUUUUUCUUUUCCUCUAUUUGUUUACUUGAAUAUUUUGCUGGAGUUGAGUUGAAUGGUUGAGUCUACAUUGCUUUUAGCUGAUAUAAUUCAACUCAUGCUCUCUCGGGUUCCUCAGCCCAAACAACUAUGCCAUGUAUGCGGCUGUUGUAUUAGUGUGUUCUCUCAUCCUUUAUCCUUAGAGGGCUUGGCCUGCUGUAAGUUGUUAUAUUUUCAAAAAUAUUAUUAAGGAGACCGGUUAAAGAUAGUUUUUGGACUUUUGAGAUGUCUCUCAGAAAUUGAGGUUGUGACCACUUCAUCUGUCAAUAUUUGACAUUUAAUAUGCCUCUUUCUGUGGAAUUUUCCUGAUGAUGAAUGUGACACAAUCUGCUAUUCAUCCUCCAAAAGCAUUGAAUAAAUUUAUAGGAAUAUGUAAAAGAAAUUAGGUGUUCUCUUUUAAGUGUUUGUAUUAGUGAAACGCCUGAAUUUUAUAGAUGAACAGAAGAAGUGCUACAACAAUUUGACAUAUGCAAACUUUAUUUGCAAACUGUCAUUUUUCAGUGAGCAGAGUCAAACGAACUUAUCUGGACUGCUCUUUUCACAAUCUUUUUCAAGCUUGAUCUACUAUUUUCAAUAUUCUGUUAAAUUAAAUAUUGGCAUGGAUCAUCGGACAUUUGAGUGAUUAAAAAUGAACAAUGUAUUCUUCCAUUGUUCCCGCAAAGGCUUUUUCUCAUUUCUCUUUUUUGUCUCAGCAUGUCAAGGAAGAACUGAAGAGAAGAGCAGCUCAGCAUUCUGGAUCAUGUGGGGGAACUAUUUCAUUGGAUUUUCAUAAGUCAGAUACGCAUGAAGACUUCCUAGAACACCUCACUGGAGCCGCCAAGUUAACAUGCACCGGUAACCCAACUGAUUUGCAUACCAAUCAGGACAACCAAUGUCAGUAAAUUUUAGUCUUCAGUUUUUUUUAAGUAGAGUUAUAUACUAGUGAUUAAAUAGUGAGCAUCCUUGUUGAGUUAUCAAUAAUCGGGAGUAGAUCUUCCGGAGAAAAGUAAUGAACAUACAUUUUGAGACCUGGAGAUGUCUUGGAAUAAUCACAAAGUCAAAGAUAGCUUUAAGUUAUUUCCCUCCUUGCUUUCUCAGUGAUUCUCGGUUGACUUUUUUUCUUCUUUUUUUCUUUUCUAUCUUAUUGAGGACUAUGUUCUUUUCUUGUCAUAUUGUCUAUUUCGGUUCAGUGGAAAUAAAAUUGGCACAGAUGCGAGUGGUUUUAGUUUCGAUUCUGAACCGGAUUAGGUGAUUUCGAACCAAGUGAUCUCAAAUGGAAUCAUCAUUUUUGAAUUUUUGAUUUUUUUCAAUAAUAUUUAAUCUUCACAUGGGUCCCAUUACGCUCUGUCUGAUGAGUCGAGGACAAGCCCCUUGUAGGCCAUCAGACUCCCUUAAUGUGGGGCCUGAAAGAAAUCUUCCGCUUCAUCUUCCUUCCAUAAAUCUCGACCUUUUCAACUUUAAAUAUCAGACAUUCAUAUGACGAGUACGAGGAAGGCCCAUCUUUCCUCUACCAUCCCCCACUUUCCUCUAGUUUGAUGUCUCUCCUUCAUUGAGCAUUUCUCUUACUUAGAGAGCAUUAUAGAAUACUAUGUUGGCGGAGGCCAUGGUGGUCUCGUCUCCCUAUUUCCCUACCCGCUGCCCAUGCCAGUGGCCAUAAAAAGAAUGUCUUCCAGCUUGAGAUUACCGAUUGUAGGGUGUGAAGUGGCUAACUUUUGUUCUUUUGUUUUUGUUUUCAGUCAAUUCAGAUCUGAACCGCCUCCCUCAGUUUCAGUUUGAUUCAGAAUUGUUUACUGAUUCCGAUUCCAAGGGUGUAAGGAAUUGAAAAUGGAUCAGCACCCUCAUUUCCGGUUCGAUUGAAAACUAUUGAUCGGUUCCGGUUCGAUUCAGAAUCAUAAAAUCGUUGAUCGAUUCCGAUUUGAUUCAGACUCAUAAAAUCAUUGAUUAAUUUUAAUUUUAAUUGAUUCGAUUAUCAUUUGAUUUUUUUAUUCAAGCUUAACAUAUAUAUAUAUAUAUAUAUAUAUAUAUAUAUAUAGAGAGAGAGAGAGAGAGAGAGAGAGAGAUGGAUGAACAAAUAAAUAUUGAUUAAAGUGAAAUACAGGUGUUAUAAGAAUGGUGCCACAAGCGUCGAUUCGAUUCGAUUCGAUUCACGAUUCUUCUCCCUGCAACUACAAACCCAUCACUGUUGACCUCGGUUUCGUUGUCAACCCAAAUCCAAACGGGAACAGGGGAUCGUAGUUCUCGUCACCAACGUUCAUGGGGAGCUGGUCCACCGACUUGAACCAAGUGCGAGGCAGCUUCCCGGUGAAGCCGAAGUCCCCGAAGAGCACAUCAGCGACCCCUUGGCCUUCGGAUCCCGGCAGCCACGCAGCCACAAGCGCGUCCAUCGAUGGCACGUACGGCUCGAUGACCACGGGCCUGCCGGAGAUGAUAACCACCACGCACUUCACCGCGCCGCACACAGAUUGGAUCGUGCUCGGCCCAGGCUCGGGAAUGGUGAGGUUGAGGCUGUCUCCAGCAGUCUCAGAGUAGGACGGCUCCCCGACGACGACAAUGGCAUAGGAGAAGUUGUUGCUCUUAACAAACCCGGCGUCCGGGUUCUCAGAGAACACUACUUUGGUUGAUGGAUCUACCGUGGCUCUUACAGCCUCCAGGAUUGUAGUACCUGGAAAAGAAGAAGGAUCAAGCUUUCAUUUAGCGUUCAGAUCAAGGCGUAUUGUCAUCCUAAGCAUGAAAUGGGAGGAGCAACAAGAGUCGAGACAUACCAACGGUGAUGUUUCCACUACUUCCAUGCCACUCUAUGGUCCAACCGCCGCACUGGUAGCCAAGGUUGUCUGCAUGGCUUCCGGCAACAAGAAUCUUCCCGGCCUUCUUUGGCAGUGGCAGCAACGGCUUCUUACUAGACUUUCCAUUCUUCAACAGCACAAGUGAUUUCCUUACAGCUUCCCUUGACAACUCCCUGUGCUCCUGGAUGGUUACGAUAAAGGAUUUGUCAGGAGAUGGAAAUCCAAACUGGAGUGAGUUGACUGCAAGCAAGGAGACCGAGAACAGACAAGCAAUUUACCUUCUUUCCAAGCUGGUCAACCAAGCUGUAGUCAGGUAGAGGGUUCUCGAAAAGACCCAUGGCAAACUUCACCCGCAAGAUCCUUCUUACAGCAUCAUUAAUUCGGCUCUUGGGGAUAACUUUGGCAUUAACCAGAGUUGUCAGAUUAUUAAUGAACCCAAGAUAGUCAUCUGGGACCAUGACCUGCAAAAAAGCACAGUAGCAUCAAGGAUAUGUGAGGCUGGCUAGAACACCAUGUUAAAGAGCCUAAAGCCACCGGGCAGGCAUUAUUAGAACAAUAGAGAAACUUCCUAUGUCCAGUGGCAAUCUCUGCUAUGCAUUCUCAUGCAUUGGAUCGAACCUAAUUCGAAAAUGCUGCGACAUCGUGCAGUCUUUGACAAACUAUAAUUUAUAGUAUAAUUUGGAUCAGUGACGCUCAUUCUUCGACAUAAAUUUCUCACCAUAUCGAGACCAGCGUUGAUCGACUUCUCAACAGAGUAAGUGUAAUUUGCUUUUGUUGGGGUGGUGAGUUUAUCGAUGCCCGUCCAGUCUGAGAUCACGAAUCCCUGACAACAGUUUGAAGCAUAUUGAGUCGUGAUACAUUCUCAAGCAGUGAAUGAAAAGGUGUUUAUGGACUCUUUCGUGAUCUACCUUGAAACCAAGCUUCUUCUUGAGAAAGUCUGUGACUAGAAAACGGUGGGCAUGCAUUUUAACUCCUUUCCAGCUUGAAAAAGAAAGCAUGACUGUGGAGACACCCAUCUUGAUGGAGUCAUAAUAAGCAGGCAUAUGGAUUCUAAGGAGUCCACUGAAGUCGACAAGAGUGUCAUUCUCGUUGAUCCCUUUGUGUGUUCCACCAUCGCCAACAAAGUGUUUGGCGCAAGCUGCUACAUUGUUCCUGAGAAGCACAUGAGGUUACUUGUGGUUUGAUAAAUUACUAGUAUCAUAAUUUAGCAGUAUGAAUGUUAGAAGGAAAUAAAGAACUAUCAAUACUCACAAACAAUUAAAUUGAAAUUUUACUAAUUUCAUGGCUGCAUUUAGAAAAUUGAGACUCUGUGAUAUGAAAAGGAUUAUCUAUCAUAAUGCCUUGAGCAUUAUCUAUCUAUCUAUCUAUCAGAAGAAUUCCCUAUUAGGAACUGAUAACAAGACUUGUGAUGCAUUGCGAUGAACUACAGAGUCUAAGCUACAUUUGCUUUUCAAGCAAAGUUGUUUCUUUUGGAUUUAUCAACAACUUCAGUGUUAUUAGAAUUCUGAAUCCUUACUUUCCAGCAACAUAAGGGAAUUUUUUUGUGUAGUUGGCAGGGACAUCUCCCUGUAAACCAAGAAUAAUUUGGGUCAUUGCCUGCACAACCCUGUGAUCCUCGCUGUAACUCUCAAAGCAUCUGCCCCACCUCGGAUCUCGACAAACCUGAAUCAGGAAGGAGGAAUAUCAAAUCAACAGAAAAUAACACUUCUGAAAAUCCAACUCAAAAUUUGAAUUUCAGAACACCAAAAAUGCAAAAAAAAAAAAAAAAAAAAAGACUUGCUUACCGCGAUACAUGGCGCAAAAGCGUAAGGAAUGCCUGUUGCUCUGAUUUCAAGAGCAGUUGCCACACCAAUCUUCUUUACAAGAUCAGGAUCCCUGCACAUAACAAUUAAGGUCCAAGAAUCAGAGAUCAGGAUGACUAGAUUGUGUUGGAUUUCACUCGAAAGAGAUUGAUAAUUAGACAAUGUCAAACAAUUCUUAAGUACAAUCAUUAGGCAGUAAGCCAAGAUAGGGUGAGAAGAGAACAAUAGUGAUUUCUUCAUUGCUUAUGAGUAUGCCAACAGUAUCAACAACAAAAAAAAAGAUAUAAUGAGUUGAAUAGAGCAGAGCAGUAAAUCUAAAAUCCUUCUCAACCAUAUGAAAAACAAAACCAGUAGUACUUCCCAAGCAUUUCACCAAUAGAUUAUAAAGUUCAUACUUGGAUGGCCAACCUGUGUUCCAACUAACAAAUGAUGAUCUCAAAUCAAUUUUCAUCAACAGGUGUGGUUUGGCAAACCAAGAGCUAAUUUUAGCAAUAUUUCGUAGAAAUUUAAAAUCACAAUAUGCAACAAAUCGAAGUAAAUAUGUAACUUGCCUUGUGGCUCCAAGACCAAUGUUGUGAGGAAAUAUGGUUGCAUUAUAGACGUUAUUGUUGCCAUGAACAGCAUCGAUCCCAUAAAUCAUGGGAAUCCCCAAUCGUGUCGACAGGCAGACCUUCUGGAAUUUAUAUAUCAUAUCAACCCAGUCCUUAGCAGAUGCCCGAGGAGAAGGAACACUUCCCCCGCCACUAAGAAUGCUACCUGUAAGACGUGUAUGAUUCAGUACGUGUGCUGCCAGCUUCUCUUCCCUUUCAGUAGAGUAGUACAAAGACCAGAUGAAUGCAUUUGUUGAUACUCACCAAUGAAGUAGUCCUUCAAGACUUGGGGUGUGGAAACUUCUCGCUCGAUUUGUGUCAUUUGACCAAUUUUUUCAGCAAGAGUCAUGCGCUUCAACAAAUCUUUGACUCGAACAUUCACUGGCUGGUUGGGAUCUUUGUAUUUCAUGUACUCUGCUUGUAUGGUUGCCGUCCAGCACAACAGGAACAGAAUUCCAAGCAUUGGUGUCUGCCGAGUUGCCAUCUUUAGAUGCAGCAGUAACCUUCUCGGAUCCUAUCGACGGACCUGUUACUGUAAGAACAUGAAAUUAUCUUAAAAGACAAAGCAAAGCAAACAAGAAGAUGCAUGGGGUUGAGCCCCUUGAUCAUCAGAAAGCUCUCACUCUGCAAAUCAGAAACCGAGAAUCGCAAAAGACCAACCACAUAUGGACGUAUAUAUGUAUAUGAUGAUAUCAAUCCAGUCAAGAAAUUAGCUAGAAAAUGUUGUGGGUCGAAAAGAACAAAGCUAACAAGCAUAUCAAGCAGGUCAAAAUGACGAAAGCAUAUUAAGCUAACAAAAUGGAGAAAAGAGCGGGUACCGAGCACUCGCAAGUUACCAAGAAAGAAACACUUCUAUAUAAUUAAAUUUUAAAUCUAUUUUAUAUGAAUUAAACAAUCCAAUAAAUUCACGAUCCCAAUAUAUAUAUAUAUAUANNNNNNNNNNNNNNNNNNNNUCAAUCUUAAAAUAAUUUGAUUUAAGAUAAAAUGACAGAAAUUUCAUAAAAUUCAUCAACUAGUCUUUUGCUAAUUAUGAUUUAAGCUUAAAAUACCAUUGUAAUUCAUGCAACAUCAUCAUGAAAUUAAAUAAUUAUUUUACCAUAAAAUUUUAAAUAUCUGAAAUUUCGAAAUUAAAAUAUUAUUAUGCAUUACAAAAUAUAAUAAUUCUAAUAUGAAAGAUUUUAAAAUAUAAAUCAAAACUUUAUAAGAAAAGAUAGAAUACAUACCACUCUUCUACGAAAAUCCGUUCCUCCGUUCCUCUAAGCCAAGCCGGAUGAGUAAUGAGGGAGAGGCAACCUUUUUAUAGGAAAAGAUGAGCACUCCCAAUAAGAUCAGAAAUAAUUUAUUUUUUUAUUUAUUUUUAUUUAUUUUUAUUUUUUAUACAAAGUAUACUUUAAAUAUUUAUUUCACUGAUUAGGAAAUAAAUUAAUUAGUAAAUUUUGGAUUGUUUGAUUAUUUAAGUAGUUACUAAAUUUCUUACUUAAGAAAAUUAAUUUUAAUUAUUUUAUUAAUCACAUAUAACAAAUAUGAUAAUAAAAUAUUCAAAUUAUCAAGACACUAAUUAUUUAAGUAGUUACAAUCUGUUACACGAUUUUGUUCUUAUCAUUAAGUAAAAUAAGAAGAAAUGAUCACCACACAAUAAAAACCAAUCUUCCCUAUAAAAAGCAAACAGAAAAAAAACCCUAAAAAUAAAAAAAUUAGCAUCAACAAGACACAAAAUGAAGCAAUCUAAGGUAGAUGCAUGCACUAAAAAACCAGAUUCAUCCAAAAUUGAACUCAAUAAAUGUUAUUGUAGAUUUUAGUUGUUCGAGUUGGAACGAGAAAUGAGAUAUGUUAUAAUGUAACUUGGGGGUGUUCUCGAUAAAUAUCUCUCUGACGAUUAGAUUUGGGAUUUGGACUGAUCAAAUUAGUCAGAAAUUAUUACAGAAUUAUUUAGUUAUGAAAGUGUAUUUGGGAGUCCCUUUUAUGGGUGGACCAUAAAGACCUUUAUGUUCGAGAUUAUUGGUGGUUGGAAGCGAAUGUGAAGUGUUUGGAGCUUAAUCAUGAUUCUAUGUCUGUGGCGUCCAACACACGUUGAUCGACCACUUGUUACGACAUUGUGUCUUUUAUGUUGUACCUUACCUAUCACUAGCACCCCAGCCCCGCCCCUCCCCCCCCCCCUUCAAACUUUCAAGCUCAUUGGGUUGUAGGACUAUCAAGCUAAAAAUUAUUGUAUCUAGCAUCAUUAAUUUUAAUGAAGGGGUGUCUACUAGUUAGGUCAUCAACUAAGAGUUAUUUAAAUGUCUACUAGUUAGGUCAUCAACUAAGAGUUAUUUAAAUGUGAGUCUUGCACUUUAGUUAUGGUGUUGUAGUAAUGCACAUUUGGGCCUUAGAUUAUGUAUUGUCAAAAUGCAUGUUCAACCUUUCGACUAUGCGUCGUCGAAAUAUAUAUUCAUAAUUUUAUCUAUGUAUAUUUGAGAUGCACAUUCAAACCUUAGGUUGUGAAGCAUGAAAAUAUGUAUUUAGUGUUUCGAUUAUGCAUCAUCGAGAUGCAAAUUUGGCCUUUAGGUUGUGCAUCACUGAAAUGUGUGUUUAGCCUUUUGGCGGUUAAUCAUUGAGGCGCAUAUUUAGCCCUUAGGCUAUGCAUCAUCAAAAUACGCAUUUGGUCUUUUGGUUAUGCGUCGUGUUUGACCCUUCGGCUUUGCAAGGGUCAUUGGCUUGCACAUUUGACCCUUAGGUUGUGUUAUUGAAAUAUGUGUUUAGCCAUUCGACUGUUAAUUAUUGAGGUACACAUUUAGCCCUUAGGUUAUGCAUUAUCGAAAUACGCAUUUGGCCUUAUGGUCGUGCGUUGUGUUUGACCCUUCGACUAUGCAAAGGUCAUUGACUUACCCAAUGAGUCUGGCCAUGUAUGCUCGUGUGCAUUAUUCAUCCCAUUAUUUGAUAGUCACAUUGAUUCGGUCGCCUAUCGAACCCGAUAAAAUUUUAUCCUUGUAAUUAUGGCUUGAUACAUGUGUGACAUGGCGCUUGCUCGGGUGUCUAUAUGUGGUUACAUGUGCCUUUCGGGAUUCAAAUGAUCAGAAUAGUUGCAAUGCCCAACCUCAUCUAAUGGCAUGUCGCCAUGUUGUUAAUCAACCAAAGUGACGAGCAACGAGGUGGUUAGUCGAAGGGUUACUCGAGCACUAUAAAUAGCCCCUUAAGUUUUUUUUGGUCCUUUCAUGCAUUUAGCUAUUCUUGGAGUAUUCUAACCUUUAGAUACUUCAAUGCUCUUCGACCUUUUGGCUUUUCACACUCUUAUUAAGGUCCGAAUGUCUUCCUCAUGAAGUUUAUGUAGUUGGGUAUACUCUUUUCGUGUUGUAUAGUUCAUGAAGUUGUAUUUAGUAUUUCAUAUAAUUUAACAUCCACACUUGUGGGCCCUAAUAGACAUGUUUUUAUGCAACACACCAAUUAAUCCUACAUCGAAAAUAUGAUAUGACUAAGAUUGACAUAUAUGAGUUUGAUGAGUUUGUUAUUAUUAAUUUUAGCUUAAAUAUUUUGGUUAGUAAUUUUGGCUUAAUGAAGUUAUCAUGAGUCAUCAAAGCCAACUUAGUAUUGAGGUAUGAUAAUGAGAUUAAAUAGGAAAAGGCUAUUAGAUUAUAUGGUUCUAUCUAAUCGGAUAAGAUAUAUUAUAAAUUUGAUUGGAUUCUAGUUAUGAUUAUCAGUAACAUUAAAAAAGUCCAAUUAUGAUAGGAUUUCUUAAGAGAUGAUUUUGAUUAAAAAAAAUGACAUGAUACACUUUUUUUAUAUUUAUUAUAUUAUUUGAUAUUUUAUCACUUUAUAUGCUUGUGGCAUAUAUAUAUAUAUAUAUAUAUAUAUAUAUAUAUAUAUAUAUAUAUAUAUAUAUAUAUAUAUAUAUAUAUAUAUAUAUAUAUAUAUAUAGUGAUGCUCAUGGAUCUGUACAAUGAGAAUCAGAACGUGAUGAGAUUACGAUAAUGAGACUGAUUCACCUUUAAACACACACCCUAGAUAAUCAUAGUCAUAGGUUACUCAAGAGGAACAUCGAGAUAACUAGAUAGAUUGGUGUGCUGUACACCCGUCCAUAUGAUAGAGACAGUUGAUCCCAUAGCUACUCGUGUGGGGACAGUAGGGCUAUAGUGUAGAUGCUCAUUGAAAAAUAAGUUCACUAGUUGAUCCGCUCACGGACUGCUGGAUGAUUAAUAAUACCUCAUUAUCAAACAGUGAUUCUGUUAUCCUAGUAGUAUACUUGGUCCUUAGACUUAAGACACCAAGGAUGUACUAUAUGAGUACUUCACUCUUUGAUACUCUACUUUAGGUUUGAAAGUUUCAGAUCUAAGAUAAUUAGUCAUCGGGAGUGGUAGCCAACCUUAUGAGUGCUAUUAAGUGUCGAUAGAGGAUCAUCCGCUCUCGGUGUCAUGCGAGGAAUAUCCCAUGUAUUCUUGCUAAGACAAAUCUCUUGCAAGGGUCAUUCGGAUUGAGAGAGAAAGAGUUCUCCGGGAGAAUCUGAUUAGAGCGAGACUCGAGUAGAAACUGUAUGGGUCUUAUAGUACCAUACCCGGUAUAUAGUCUCUGAGAUAUUAGAUGGAUGAUGAACUAUAGAUACACGAUAAUUGAGGACAGAUAGGUCCAAAGGAUUGGAUUCUUCUAUAUCGCUUGGGACUACGACGUAGUGGCAUAGUACGCUCGUAGUCGAUGAGUUGAGUGAAUUAUUAUGAGGAUAAUAAUUCACUGAGCCAGAAGGAGUUCUGACAAGUAUAACUCAUGGCCAGCUCGAUAUUGGGCCUAGAGGGUCACACAUAUAAGGUAAGCAUUUUGACGAGUAGAGGUUCGAAUAUGAGAUAUCCACCGAAGCCCCUAUCUUAUUGGAUAUCCAAUAAGCCCUUGAAUUAUUGGAUCCUAUGGAUGAGAUCCAAUAAGAGCCAAUGAGAAAUUAUUGGAUAAAAAUUUACUAAUCUAAGAGGUCUGGAUAGUUGAAUGGAGAUCUAAUACCCAAUAGGGCAAGAGGAGGGAACCAAAGACCUAUAGACUAGAAGCUUCUUGGUUGCUACCUUUUAUUCUCCUCUCCCAUUCUCCUCCUUAGAUAACAGGUGUAGAGAUUUAGGUAGCGAUUUGAAGAGUGUCGUCGCAGCUCUACUAUGUAGAUCACCGCUAGAGAGGAGGACACUUGACCUCCUUCAUCCUCUCUUACAGAUAUGCAGGAUUUCAGGGAUAUACGAUCUCCCUUGGUAAAAUAUUAUCUCACACGUGGAUUCAAGUUUUACGAGUUUUUACGCACCAAUCUUUGCAUGACGACAAACACCUUUUUGAAAAAUUUGGGGUUUUUGUUUUCUGUUAUUCCGCUGCGCAUGUGAUGUUGCCCCUAGAUUUUCCUACACUGACAACGAUACACGUGCAAAUCAGAUAAAAGUUUUCUGAGUAGCUUUGGAAGGUACACAUCAUAAAUUUGAUAUAUUGUUAUUUGAUUACAAUUUCUAGCAUUAAAGUUUUUUAUAUUUACAAUUGGUAUCACAGCCAUGCUUUAAAAUCAGAUACUUUAGAUCGUAAAAGUAUUUCAGAUUUAUUUUAUAUUUAGAUCCGUUUAUUAGUAUCCUUCGCUUACAAAAAUAUAUUAUUUAAUUUUGAUUUAUGAUGGUUGAACGAUCUAUUUGUAUUGUUGAUAUACUUUCAUAUCUCAUCCAUCUUAUCACAUGCUUAUAAAUGAUAUGAGAUUCCUCAUAUUUGAUUGAUGGAUCAUUGUUGACAAUUUAUUGUUAGCAAUAGUAUUAUUAAAGGUGGCGAUCUCUGGUGAUCGUCAUUCCAAUCGUGGGUAGCAGUUGCGUACGGAACAUAAGCACCAUGGGAUACGACAUCAUUAUUGUGGCAACUGCAACAAAAUUCAUGCAACGACUAUGAUGACUAAAGUAGUGCCAUGGCUAUGAUAAUUGCAUCAACGUCAUUGUGAUACUUACAAGCCAUGACUAGUAUCGAUUGGACGUCAAAGGCUGCAAUAGCCAAUGGUUGCACGACAUACUCGUAAGCACCAUCGAGCACCAUGAUAAUGGUAUGGUCGUUAGUUGAUGCAUAAUCGCACAUAGGCAUGAUGACACAGCCUUAAUAUUGAGAAAAAUCUUAAACUAGGUACAGUAGGAGUAAAAAUCUCUAAUUUUAAUUUUGAUAUUAAAAAAUAAAUAUUGAUAUUCUUUUAUUAUUUUAAAUUUGAGAGAUUAUUGUUGUUCAAGUUACUAAAAGAAUUAAUGAGAGAAUAACAAAAUAGCAUUGAUGAACUCUUACAUGAUGUUAAUGUCAUUGGUAAUAAUCUUGUAGAACAAUCAUAACUAGUAGUCUUGAGAAGAUCUCACAUAGAAAGGAGGUUUAUCAUUUUUUAUUAUUAUAUGGUAUAUCUAUAAUAAUCAUAUUAUGAUAUAGGAAUAAAAAUGACCUCUCAUUGUUUUCAUAAGUUAUGAAAAGUGGUACGAUGCGAUGAAAAAAUAGUUGAAAUCAAUGAACUAGAAUAGUAUCUGAAAACUCAAUAAAUCAUCCAAUAACUAUAAAAAAGACUAUUAUAUAAACAUCACUCAAAAUAUAAUAUCAAACGAUAUAAUAGUUAAACUUUUGGUCAAAUGUUUACUCAUAAAGAAUGCAUCUAUAAUAACGAGGUAUUUUUUUUAGUUUUGAAAAUGAUUUCAUUAAGAAUCAUAACAAGUUUUCUAAUUAGGGAUAUAGUUUUCUAUGGAUUAGCCUAAAUAAGAGAAAAUAAAAGAAAUAUAAAAUUUGACAUAUAAAUUAAAAAUUAUUUAUAAACUUAAACAAGCUUUCAGAUAAUGAUAUAUAAAAUAUCAUAAUACUAUUACUUUCUUCAGAUUUAAAAAAAAUACUAUUAUUCAAUGUUUAUAUUUGAAGGUCAAUGAGAGCUAGUUUAUUAUAUUGGUCUAUGUGCAGAUAAUAUUUUGUAUACCAGUAGUAAUCUUGGUUUAUUAUGCUAAACCAAAAAAUUUCUUAUUAAGAGUUUUAAAAUGAUUGAUAUGAAUAAAGUAUCUUAUAUUAUUAGUAUUGAGAUAUUUAGGGAUAGAUUUCAAGGAUUAUUAUGAGUGUCUAAAAGAAAAUAUUUAUCGAGUCUUGGAGAGAUUUAGUAUACAACUUUAUUCAAUAAAUGAUAAAAAUAAAAUUUUUAAUCAAAAUAAAUAUUUUUAAAAUAAUUUUAUUAAGGAAUAAAAAAAAUUCAUUAUAUAUGCAAAGUUGGAAAUAUACUAUAUACUCAAGAGUAUACCAAACCAGUUAUCAAUUUUAUAGUUAGAAUACUGGGUAUAUACUAGAGUUACCUAGGAUUGAAAUACUAAAAGGUUAAAAAAAGAAAGCAAUAAGAUAUAUGAAAUAGACGAAGGAUUAUAUAUUCACAUAUAUGAAAUUAGAUUAAUCUAAAAUUAUGAUAUUUUCAUAUGUUGAUUAUGUAAAUUAUCUCAAUAAAGUAGGAAGUCCAUUUUGUAUUUUAUAUUUAUAUUAGUUAGAAGGAUAAUUUAUAGAAAAUAUAUAAAAUAAUAUAUUAUUAUAUUAUUAUUAAUACAAGCUAAUUUUGUGAUAUGUUUUGAGGUUACUAAUCAAGUUUUAUGAUUAUGAAAUUUUAUCUUAUGAAUUGGUAUGGUCAGACUCAAUUAUCAAGUCGAUAAAGAUAUUUUUAACAUAUCGUAGUAGUUUUUCUUUAAAAAUAACAAGUAUUAUUAUAUGUAUAAAGUAUGAAUGAUUUUAAAAAAAAUCUAUAAACAAUUAAUAUAUCGAUUAAGAGCUUAAGUGUUACUGUGUUUGACUACUAAUUUAUUUACUUAGGAUUUACAAUAUAAAGUGAUGGAUAAUAGGAUUGUCUUGACUAUAGUAAUCAUUUUAUACUGUAUUAAAAAAAGGUCAACAAUGUUAUGGUUCAAAAAUAUGAUAUCGAUGAUAUAAUAUGCUUCAUAUUUAUAAUCAGACUAAUAUAGUAUUACUAUGUUUAUUGAACUUAGCCUAUUUUAUAAAAUUCAUAUAUACAUAUAAAAGAUUUUUAAAAUUUUUUAAAUCUAAUUAAGUAAAAUUAUUUUUAAAUAAAAUUUUAUUUUAUUAAUUAAUGAUUCAAAAAAAUCAUAUUAUAUGAUUUUAACUAAUUCCUACAUAGAGACGAAAUAAUUCUUUUGAAAAUCUAAAUAAGAAUAAUUAUCCUAAUUAUCUAUUAUUGCUUGUUGAACAAAAAUAAUAGAUAAGUCAUUACAUUUAUUUAUCUUUGCCUCCACGAAAGCAUAAUCAUGUGAUAGAGCAAGUAUAAUUUAGCGAUUAGCAUUGAUAGAGCUUAUCCCUGGGUUAGAGGGAGCCCUGCCAGAAAUUCUCGUUGGCGCUGAGUCAAACCCAGACCAAAGAGGGGGUUUGGAAAUAGUUUUCAACCAGCAAUUGUCGCGCCUCGGUUAUAACCUCACAAGCUGCGACAUUGCCCCAAGCGCAAAGAUAACCUACCAAUUAGAAGCGCCUCCGCUUUUAUAGCCCAGCCUCCUCCCUUCUGUCUUCGUUGUUCUCAAUGUGGGACUAAAACUGCGCCGGUUGAUGAUAACUGAAGCCUCUCCUUGUUAUUAAACAUAGAGUUAGUCUUUUGGUAUUCUAUCUAAUUUCUUUCUUAUCUUGAUAGGAAAACCAAAAAUGAAGUUUCAACCUAUUCCUCAAGUUUUAUUAUAUUACCAUUAGUGUUGCAAUAGAUUAUGAUCGCCCAUCAUAUAAAGAAUUUUGAGCUAAAUUUAACGUUAGGACUUGUGGUAAGUUUAGGCGUCAGAAAAUAGUUUAAUUCGAUUAGAUUUUCUAUAAUAUUUUAUCAGGAUACUUAAACUAAAAAGGAAGUUCAAAAUAAUAAAUAUGUAAUAUUAACAAAGAAACAAAGCGCCUGUAGCUCAGUGGAUAGAGCGUCUGUUUCCUAAGCAGAAAGUCGUAGGUUCGACCCCUACCUGGCGCGACGUGAAAAAUAUAUUUAUUUUACUUACCAAAAAAAUAAUAUUAACCAAAGAUCUCUCAGAUAGUAUUAUGGAAAUUUUUUAUAUUAUGGAGAUUUUUAUAAUGAUUUCAGUAAUUAACAUGAGUAUCGUGGAUUUUAAUUUGAAUUUUAAUUACAUAUGUUAUUCGAACAUUAGACUUUAUGGAUGGUAAAAUCUUAUAUCGUAUUAAUUCGAUAGGACAUUUGUAUUAAACCAGUAUAUCCGUUGUUUAUUAAUAAUAGAUGGCACAAAUACAACUAAGGAUUGUGAUAUAUUACUAUCACAUCAUGGAUUUUUUUCACGAAAUUACAUGUAAGAGUCAAAUAAAUAAAUAUUUUUUAUUAAUAUACAUAAAUUAUAAAUAUUUAUUAUAAUUUAUUUAUAAAUCAAAAUAAAAGUUGAAAGUAACUAUAUGUUUUAUUGGGAAACAUAGUAAUAUUAACUUAAAAAUAAAAUUCAACUAACUCUAUUUAAUGAUAGAGGAAGGUUUACUUUCUAUUGUGAUAUGAUUUAGUGUUAUUAGGAGAUUACUCUAAAAAAAUUUUAAAAAAAAUUCAGCAAGUAGGAACCCUAUAAGUCAAUUGUAAAAUGAUUUCAUAUUCAAAAAUCAAUCAUCCUAUUAACGUAUAUCAAAUACCUAAAAGAGCAUUCCCCCAACAUGGAUAGAGAGAUUAUAUCACAUGAGAUAAAUUUAUGUUUUAAAUAAAUUCAUAUCACACUCCUAAUAGCGGAUGAAAUAAUAUCCUUCAUAUGCCAAAGUAGGGACAUAUUCCUCCCAAUAACAAAUAGAGGAAUUGUGUAAUCGUUACAUCUAACGGUCCAUUAAUCCUUGAAAGGAAUCACCCUACUUGUUCUUGGCAUAAAACAAAAUCAUAUGAUACUAGUUAUGUCUAUAUCAUGAUGAAAUAAUUUAUUAAAAUAUCUUAAUUUAUUUUUUAAAUAUCAUUAAUGUCAAAUAAAUUAGUCCAUUUGAACCCUAACUCAAUCAAUUCAGUUGAACUCGAAUUAACUAAAACCUAACUAAAUCGAUCUUUAAUCCUCAUUUAGUUGAUCUCGAAUCAUCCUAAACUGAUAUAAUUUGGACUAGAUUUGAUUCAAUUUAUGUAAAAAAGAUUUUAAUAAGUCAAACAAGUUUCGAAUUAUAAUGAUUCAAUCUAAACUAAUUAAAUUUGAAUUGAUUCAAUCAAUAUUUGAGUCAAACACAUAAAGUAAUAGCAAUAUGCUAUACUACAUAGCAUUAGGUUAGGUUGGGUGAACCUAUAUAAUGGUUAUAUGUAGUGCAUAUGAUUAUAUAUACAUCAUAUAAGCUAGGCCAAUCCAUGGACUGAUUGUAUACAUUGUACAUGAUUACCCAUUUAAGUUGGGCUAUGCUAAUCUACAAGUUGGGCCUAGCCUACCGGUUAGACUUAGUUUGCAUUAAGUUCAACCUAUUAGUUGGGCUUAACUUAUUAGUUGGGCCUAGUCUACUUUCAACUCAAAUAUUAAUCAAUUCUCUUGAAUUUGAAUUAUAACAUCAUAAAAUUAUAAUUAAAAUAUUUAACCGUUAACUUUGAAUCAUAACAACAUAAUAAAUAAUAAUAAUUAAAAAGAUAAAAUUAUAUAAUGGUCAUUAACAAUUCGAACUUCCAUAUAACAAAUAACCUCAAUUGGAUAUCAUAAGGUAUUUAACAUUUCUCUUAGAAACUAUUUGAAGUACCAUAAUAAUAAAAUGAAAUAUUAUAUGCAAUCGAGGUCACCGUGGUGAUAACGAUGCUAGCUCGUCUCCUUUGUUUCCCUACUAUCUAUUUAUACCAAUGGUUUUACUAGUUUCGAUUUUAUGAUAUAAAAACAAAAAUAAAAUAUCAUCCACAGUUUUAGUUUGAUUCAAAGUAGUUGAUUUAUUCUGAUUCGAUUUAGAAUAAUAGAAUCAUAAAUUGAUUCCGAAUCAUAAAAUCAUUGAUUAAUUUUAAUUUUAAUUCUAUUAGUUUAGUUACCAUUUGAUUUGGGAUUCAAACCUAACUAUGAUCACCACUUCGUAUACCUCAUUCGCUUGCAAUAUUUAAAAUCUCGUCAGGUGCCAAGGCACGUAUCUCGAAGGAGAUAUCCUGCUAAGACACGACGUGUGUAUUAAUUAAAGAAAGAAAAACCAAGAGAUUGAAUCCUUCCAAUAGGCCACAUCUCUUAGAAAUUCCAUUAAUCAAGAUCAACAUAUACAUACAUGCAAGUUCACAGAAGUUUGGAUGGAUGAGCAAAUCAACGUUGAUUAUAUAUAUAUAGAAUGAUGCCGGAUCCGAUUCUAGAUUCUUCGCUGCUACUCAAGACCCUACACUGUUGACGUUGUCAACCCAAAACCAAACGGGAACAGGGGGUCGUAGUUCUUGUCACCAACGUUCAUGGGGAGCUGGUCCACCGACUUGAACCAAGUGCGAGGCAGCUUCCCGGUGAAGCCGAAGUCCCCGAAGAGCACGUCAGCGACCCCUUGGCCUUCGGAUCCCGGCAGCCACGCAGCCACAAGCGCGUCCAUCAAGGGCACAUACGACUCGACGACCACGGGCCUGCCGGAGAUGAUAACCACCACGCACUUCACCGCGCCGCACACAGAUUGGAUUGUGCUCGGCCCAGGCUCAGGAAUGGUGAGGUUGAGGCUGUCUCCAGCAGUCUCAGAAUAGGGCGGCUCCCCGACGACGACAAUGGCAUAGGAGAAGUUGUUGCUCUUAACGAAGCCGGCAUCAGGGUUCUCAGAGAACGCUACAUUGGUUGAUGGAUCUACUGUGGACUUGAUGGCCUCCAGGAUUGUGGUACCUGUAAAAGAAGGAAUAUAGCUUUCAUUUAGCGUUCAGAUCAAGGUGUAUUAUUGUCUGUCAUCCUUUGCAUGAAAUGGGAGGAGCAAGCAGAGCUGAGACAUACCACCAGUGAUUCUUCCACUACUUCCUUGCCACUCUAUGGUCCAACCACCACACUGGUAGCCAAGGUUGUCUGCAUGGCUUCCAGCAACAAGAAUCUUCCCGGCCUUCUUUGGCAGUGGCAGCAAUGGCUUCUUACUAGACUUUCCAUUCUUCAGCAGCACAAGUGAUUUCCUUACAGCUUCCCUUGCCAACUCCCUGUGCUCCUGGAUGCAGCCAAGGAUUGUCAGGAGAUGGAAAUCUAAAUUCGAGUAUGUUGAUUGCAAGCAAAGAGACGGAGAACCAACUGACCUUCUUUCCAAGCUGAUCAACCAAGUUGUAGUCAGCCAGAGGAUUGUCGAAAAGACCCAUGACAAACUUCACCCGCAAGAUCCUUCUUACAGCAUCAUCAAUUCGGCUCAUGGGGAUCACUUUGGCAUUAACCAGAGUUGUCAGAGUAUUGAAGAACCCAGGAUAGUCAUCUGGAACCAUCACCUGCAAAAGCAUAUCAGCAUCAAGGAUAUGCAAGGCUAAUAUAUAAAUUUCUCAGGAAUCAAGUUGCAAUAGUUGGUGUCAAGAUUGAUGAGAAAUUAAACAUAGAACACCAUGGUAAAGAGCCUAAAACUAAUAUAUAUCUUCUGUGACUCGAAUGGGCAGGCACCAUCAAAACAAUAGAGAAACUUCCUAUGUCUAGUAGCUUUCUCUGAUAUAUAUUCUCAUUCAUUUGAUUGAACUUAAUUCAGAAAUGCAUCAUCAAAACAAUAGAGAAACUUCCUCUGUCUAGUAGCUUUCUCUGCUAUAUAUUGUCAUGCAUUUGAUUGAACUUAAUUCAGAAAUGCUGCUAUAUUAUGCGGUCUUUGACAAACUAUUACUUAAUGAUAUAAGAUUGAUCAAUGACACUCAUUCUUCGACAUAAAUGCUCACCAUGUCGAUACCAGCGUUUACUGACACUUGAACGGAGUAAGUGUAAUUUGCAUCAGGUGGAGUGGUGAUCCGAUCUAUGCCCUGCCAGUCUGAGAUCACGAAUCCCUGAUGAUGGUUUGAGCGUAUUGAGUUGUGACAUAUUCCGAAGUAGCCAAUAAGAAGUACAUGGACUAAUUUCAAAAUGUACCUUGAAACCAAGCUUCUUCUUGAGGAAGUCAGUGAUUAGGUAACGGUUGGCAUGCAUUUUAAUUCCAUUCCAACUUGAAUAAGAUGCCAUGAUUGUGGACACACCCUUUGCGACGGAGUCAUAAUAAGCAGGCAUAUGGAUGCUGAGGAGUCCAUGGAAGUCGAUAAUAGUAUUAUUCUCAUUGAUUCCUUUUUGUGUCCCACCAUCACCAACAAAGUGCUUGGCGCAAGCUGCAACAUGCUUCCUGAGAAGCACAUGAGGUUACUUGUGGUUUGAUUGAGUAGCAUUAUCAUAAUUUAGCAGUAAAAAUGUUAGAAUAGCCAACUGCAUUUUUUUGGCACAAGGAAACAAAGAACUAUCAAUACUCACGAAGAAGAAAAUUGAAAUUAUACUACUUACUGGCUGCAUUUAGCAAACAGAGACUCUGUGAUAUCAAAGGGAUUAUUUAUGGAUGGUUUACAUUUAGUUAUAAUACCUUGAACAUCUUAAGAUUCUCUAUUAGGAACUGAUUACACAACUUGUAUUUUUUUUGUGAUGAACUACAGAGUCUAUGCUACAAGUUUUUUUUGUUAAGCAGACUUGUUUUUUCGUUUAGCAACAACUACAGGCAGAUAACACAUUGUUUUUUAAGUAAAUUAUGAAUCCUUACUUUCCGGAAACAUAAGGGAAGUUCUUUGUGUAGUUUGCGGGGAUAUCUCCCUGUAAACCAAGAAUAAUUUGGGUCAUUGCCUGCACAACUCUGUGAUCCUCACUGUAACUCUCAUAGCACCUGCCCCACCUUGGAUCUCUACAAACCUGAAUUAGGAAGGAGGAAUAUCAAAUCAACAGAAAAUAACACAUGCAGUUCCAACUCAAAUUUUGAAUUUCAGAACACCAAAAAUGCAAAUACAAUUAACUGAGCUUACCGCGAUACAUGGCGCAAAAGUGUAAGGAAUGCCUGUUGCUCUGACUUCAAGAGCAGUUGCCACGCCAAUCCUCUUUACAAGAUCAGGAUCCCUACACAACGAUUAAGGUCCAAGAAUCAGAGAUCAGGAUGACCAAAUUCUGUUGGAUUUCACUUGCAAGAGUCUCAUAAUUAGGCAAUAUCAAACAAUUCUUAAUGAGUGUCAUUAGGCUGUAAGUCCAGAUAGGAUGAGAUGAACAAUAGUGAUUUCACUGAGCCUUCAUUGCUCAUGAACAUGCCAACAGUAUCAACAAAACAAAAAAAAGACACCAAAAGAGAGAAUGAGUAAAAUAGGAAAAGCUAGAAUGAUAUUUUCUCAAUUGAAUGCAUGCAGUGCCAUAGAGCAGAGAAGUAAAUCUCAGAUCACCAUAUGAAAAGCAAACCAGGAGUACUUUCCAAACCUUUCACUAAUAAAUUAUGAAGUUAAUACUUGAAUGGCCAACCUGUGUUUCAACUAACAAAUGCUGUAGGAUAGGUUAACACAAGAGACAAGAUAAUUUUCCUAGCAACAGCAACAAAAUCUUCUUGACACACAGUACAAGGAAUAGAAAAUAUAGACAGAUGUGAUUAUCUCGAAUCAAUUUUCAUCAAGUGGUAGUUUGGCAAACCGAGAGCUAAUUUAAGGAAGAAUGUUGGUACUUCAUGCGCUAAGUUCAGAGAAUUAAGUUUCUAGCUUUAACAAAAUGUCAAUAUUUGGAAGAAACCUAAAAUCACAUUAUGCAACAAAUGGAAGUAAACAUGAAACUUGCCUUGUGGCUCCAAGACCAACAUUAUGAGGGAAUAUGGUUGCAUUAUAGACAUUAUUGUGGCCAUGAACAGCAUCAAUCCCAUAAAUCAUGGGAAUUCCCAAUCGUGUCGACAGGCAGGCUUUCUGGUAUUCAUUUAUCAUAUUAACCCAGUCCUUAGCAGAUGCCUGAGGAGCAGGAACACUUCCCCCACCACUAAGAAUGCUACCUGUAAGAUGUAUGUGAUUCAUUAUGUGUGUAGCCAGCUUCUCUUCUUAUCUUCCCAUGACAUUACAAAGACAAGAUGAAUGCAUUAGUCAUUGACACUCACCAAUUAAGUAGUCCUUCAAGACUUGAGGUGAGGCAUCUUUUCGCUCGAUCUGUGUCAUCUGACCAAUUUUUUCAGCAAGAGUCAUGCGCUUCAUCAGAUCUUUGACUCGAACAUUCACUGGCUGGUUGGGGUCUUUGUAUUUCAUGUACUCUGCUUGUAUGGUUGCCGCCCAGCACAUCAGGAACAGAAUUCCAAGCAUUUGUGUCCGCCAAGUUCCCAUCUUCAGAUGCAGCAAUAACUUUUUCAGAUCCUUUCAACAAAUCUGAUACUAUAAAUUCAUGAAGUGAGCAUAUAGACAAAGCAAAGGAUGCAAGAAGAUGCAAAGGGCCGAGCCCUUAAUUAUCAGAAAGCUCUCACUCAGCAAAUCAGAAACUGAGAAUAGCAAAAGACAAACCACAUAUGGACGUAUACAGAUGAUGAUAUCAAUCUCGUCAAGAAAUUAGAUAGAAAAUGUUGUGGGACAAUGAGAACAAAGAUAACAGCCAUAUCAAGCAGGUCAAAUGAUGAAUGCUUCAAUGGAAAGGUCAAAGAACAGGUGAAUUCACACUUUGUACAAGAGAAAAGAUCGGGUACCAAGCACUCACAGAUGAUAGGAUAGGUAGGUAAGACCCAAGUUACAACAAGAAACACCACCAGGAUAGCAAGAAGUAAAGACAAAGGAUUGUGAACUAUCCAAAAAUUGUAUGCCUUUCCAAAACUUUCUCUGUCGGUUUACAAGUCACAAAUUCUAAAUUCUUUCUUCGAAAUGGCACAUUGGCCAACAGCCCCCAUAUAGAUUCACAAAAACUACAUUCCGAUAGUCGUUUAUUCAAGUGCUUUGAGACUGAAUGCAGUGCAGCAGUUAGCUAUAAGUUGAAGAAAAGGAUCUGUUGCGGGAAAGCAGAGUAGUUCAAAGAGACGAGUCGAAAUGUGUCUCGGAUCAAGUUUCACUAGUAUUCGGAUGGCAGAGUCUUUUUGCGUGUUUAUGGAUGUAUGAUCCACGAUUUUGUUCUUAGUAGCAUUCGCGAUUAGAAGAAAUGAUCGCCAAACAUAAAAAAGCAAUCGUUCCUAUGAAGCGGACGAUUUUAACAACUAGGGAGCAAUCCGAGGUACAAAAAAACCUAAAAACACGAACUUUCACAUCAAGAAGACAACAAUAAAACAAGAGAUCGAAGAUUGAACUCGAUAUACGAAAUCAUUACUGAUUAAAGCCAGAAGGAGGAGGAGGAGGAGGAGGAGGAGGAGGAGAAACCUCAAACAAGAAAUGAUAAAAAAGGGAAACUCCUCCAGAAGCCGGGCUUUUCGUUCAAAUACACUCCUUUCCGAGUACCACCAAGCUAGUAGCCAUCAAAAUAGGCCGAUGCUUCAUUUAUAGACGCGCCGGAGACAGAUGAAGACUGCGAAAAGUGGAAGUAUAACGUUAAACGGAUAAAUAAUCGUUUGAUUUUAGUGCUCAAGGUCGGGAGUUGGUGACGCGAUUUGGGUGGUGGGUGGGGAUGAUGGUGGCGGGUGGAGACUACGGGAAGGGUUUGAAACAAUUCUUAUACCGAUAUUACCCCUGCCAUUCUUUAGUUUGGUCGCGAGUCCGUCGUUCCCAGCCGUUAGAUCGACAUCAGCUUUGUGGGGUAACGUUGGUCAGCGUGGGGCCCCGAUCGCACGGAAUAGGAAGACAAUUGGGGGUCGGCAAAAACAUAGCCGUUGGGGGUUGGAUGGAUCUCUGCACGUUGCCCAUGUCUGCAGAGGUGGUUUCUUCCACGUCAGUAACGUGCGUGAAGUCUGCUGUGAACAGUCGUACUCUUGCUGCUUAGGCUAACUCCAGCUCACAGCUCACGUUGACCCACAUCAUCGUCGUGUCUUCCAUCACGCCGUCAAUGGAAUUUGAAUUGCUUCCACUUUUCAGUUGAUACGAAUAUUUAAUCGGUUUCGCGUAUAGGGAAAGGACAAAGAUUAAUUGCAAUGAAAAAUUAAGUGGGCAAGACGUGAUGUGAUGGCUCUUUAAUCUUUUAUCAUGCGAGAUUUGUGCUAGUUAUUAUGGGAAGAGACUCAAUAAAAUUAGCAAAAAUCGUAAUUUAAAUUUGUUUGCAUAUUUGAGAGGGAUUUAUUAUGUGAUUUACAGGGCAACCACAGCACCUUUUAAUACCGCAGUAACUUUGCUACCGUCAGUUGAGGAGAAUGGUUGGUCAUUAGUCUCACAAUAUUAAUGCUUUUCUUCAAAGAAAUAGGACGAGUUUAUAUGGGGAUAUAUAGAACAUAUUUAAAGCCACCCAACUUUAUUAUCAUCAUUUUUUUAUUAGUAAAAAAUGUUUUGAUUUUAGUUGGUCAUACCAUCUGUGUUAUAAAUAAAAACCAAAUAAAUAUUCUUUAUUAAUAUAAGUAUUUUCAAUGUGUAAUACAUUCUUCGUGGAUAAAAACAUAUGAAACAUCUAAUGUGUCUUUUACUAAUAAAGCAUUAUAACAUCUAACGUAUCCUUUAUGGAUAUAAGUAUCUCCAAUGCAUGAUGCCUUUGAAGCCCCUGGUAUAUUUUUGAAGAAUCCAUAAGGGUUCCUUCGAGUAUAUUGACCAUUUAAGGAGGGCAUCUUAGCGACAUUGUAUCAAAUCGAUCGAGACCCAACCUCCUCUAGAAGUAGGCUUCUCAGUAAUAUUAUGCUAGAUCACAAUUCUACUACCGAAGUGGCCAUCACAAUUGCUCGAUGUGGCCACUUCGGUAGUCCCGUAACAGGUCAGUCGAAACUUUCCUCUACCACCCGAUGUGAGCACCCUUUAUCACCUGAUGUGGGCAUCAUUACUUGUCUAAUGGCAGCACAAUAGUAAAUAGCAUUAUAGAUGACUAAUUAAAGGGGCGACAAUGGGUUCCUCUAAUCAAUGGGAUAGAACUGCUUUACAUAGAAUAUUUUAUUCUAGCCUAGUCGAGAAGGUAGCUGCUAUUUAUGUAUCCCUUAGCUCUAGUGAUAACAUCUGGUGUUCGUCUACUCAUCCAAAGGGGAUCAUGAUGGCUUGGAGUGCCUACAGUGUUCUCGAUAAUAUGCACCAAUCACCAGUUAACGUUAGGGCUGGCUAAAAGGCGAUUUGGAAGAUUGUCGUGGUUCCAAAUAUCAAAAUAUUUUUGUGAAAAUUAGCGUGGGGCAGUCUUCCUACAUCCGAAUGGUUUUCUAAAUUCUCUAGCAAUCCCUUGCUUGCUUGUCCUGUUUGUUUGGGGUUUAUUGAUUUAGUUGUGCAUUUCCUUUUUGAAUUCGCCUUUGCCUUAGAUUACCAGUUAUUUGUCUAGCAAAAACUGCAGCAUAGUUUCAAGUUCUUUGUUGAGUGAAUGAAUGGUAGAUGGUUAGAAGAGAGUGACGGGCUUAAGAAGGAACAGAGUGACAGCAUGCACGCUGUCAUUACCAAUUUCCUUUGCACUCUUUGGAACCACCAUAAUGACCGUCAUUUCUGCAAUUGUAGGGCCUAUGUUACAACACUUUGGUGCAAGCUGUGUGCUUUAGUCAACGAGGUGAAUGAUGUGCACCUGCCUGAGGGGGAUGGGGAACACUGGAUGAACAAGGAAUUGAUAUGCUACCCUACUAACUUUGAGUUUUCUAUUGAAACUAAUGCAUCCUUUGUGAGUUGUAAUGUUUGUGCAGGAUUAGGAUUCAUUCUCGAAGACCGACAAGGGAAUUAAUUUGGUGGUUGGAGGUUAUUCUUCGAGAGCUAGAAGAGCAGUUUCACUUACGGAGAGCGAAGCAAUUUUUGGAUGAUUAUAUUUUGCAACAGAAAAUGGCUGAGGAAAUAUAUGAAUUCUCUUAACAAUUUUGAGGCUAUGCUUUGAUUUUUGAAAAACACUUCGCUUGACUGUUUGUUGUUUUUUUUUUUAUCAAUGGUUAAUUGUGAUUUUUAACCCAAAAAAUAUAAUUUAUUUUUUACCCAAUGGUUAAUUUAUUUUUUUAUCCAUUUUACAUCCACCUGAUUAAGCUUUAAUAUAGUCUGUUAUUUUAAAAAUAAUAAUAAAGAUAUGGAAUGUUGGAUUCUGCCUGCCUUUAUCUAUCUAUUAAGAUAAGACGACAGAUCAGAGGUAAGCAGUGACGUAGGCAUUGUUUCAUAGACAUGGGGAACUAAAAGAUUGUGAUCGUUCCGUACAAGACAUCCUGUCAAAUGUAUCCCAAAAUUUAGUUUACAGUGAUUCUGAAAGCUCACUUCUUUAAAUAAAUGUCUCCAAAAAAUAAACUGCCAAUGUAGCAGCCAAGGAACUAGAAUGCAUUUUACACCUGGACAUGCUCAUGUCCUCUUUAAUAUUACCUAUUGCCUCCUGUAUAUAUAACUGUCACAACAACAUAAGAAUUGAUUAAACUCCUUUGCCCCCGUAAAAAAGAUCGAAUGGUACCCAAAAAAAGAUAUAAUAUAUAAACAGACUAUAAUUUCCUGAAUUAGCCUACAGAUUACAUUGAUGCAUUCUGAAAAGUUUAUCUGCCUUGAUCAAGAUGAUCUAUUGUUACCAAUCUCGUCAUCCAUGUGUCAUGCCGCACCGUUUGGCUCUUGGUCUUAUUAUCACUUACUCAGAAUUGCCCCAGUAAGCAAAAGAAUGAUGAGAGCCUCCCCAGGUGAAAAAGAAUCUGGCACAAUUAGAGGCAUGCCUCUAGUAAUAAUACUAGCAGCAUCUGCGGUCUGCUGGAUUCUCCAGGUGUCACCAUCAGCCCGAACGACGCCUUGACCUUCGCCUUGGUCUGUUAAGAAGCUUCAGCAUAUUCUCAGUGAUAUCAAGUGGGGAGUCAUCAUCUUCAACCUGGUGGCUCUUGUCCGAAGUGUGGGUCAACCAUUCCAAAGCUUCUAUAGCAGCAUCCCUCUCAGCAAGCUGCUUGUUCUUCUUUGGUUUUCCCACAAAUUGCAUCCCUUUGAAUUCCACUAUUGCCCGGAAUUCAUUCGUCUUCAGAUGCUUCGUCUUGUACUUUGGUGGGCUGUGGCCUGCCCUCAUCAACAAGGUUUGCAGCAAGCUUUUUGGGUUGGUUCCAUCUUUCACAAUAUUGUUCUUGUUGCCCUCGUUGCCGCUAAAUCUGGUCCUUCUUGUUUCCCGUCCAAAUACAAACCUUCCUUCACACAGGUCACCUGAGACAAGCUCCUGCACGGCAAGCAUUAGGUACCUGCCUUCUUUGUGGAUAUCUGUUCUCGGAUCUAGAAGCUGCAUUCACAUCAGGGUAUAUUAAUGUAGUGAAAGUUAUAUACAAGUAAAUUCAACAAUGGAUCCAACCAUAAGGUAAUUAGUCAAUAAAUACAACCAACUGAAUUUUAAAAAUAUAAUAAGAACAAGACAAAGCCGUAGUGUCCUAUUUGUGGUCAGCUUAACUGAGAUUGACGCAUAAAAUAUUUAAAUUAGUGACGUGAUAUGGGAUGUUACUUAGUUUGCUAUUUCUAAACUUUCUUUUAGUUCCUUUUAUCUGAUAUGACAAGUCCUAUUAUAUAACAUCACCUUUUGGAUGCUCUUGGAAGAUUCAUUUGCUUGUAGCUUAAUGGAAGGAACGUAAAACAUGCACUUACAACAUUGAAAAAAAUCACAAUAACAUAAUUCAUUUAACUUAUUGCUGAAUAACAUAUUUUAAUAUUAGAUUCAUGUUUACCUUUCUUUGUACAAGGUUAUCAAGUUCCGCCUUGAGGUUCCAGUAGCAUUCUGUUAAACUUGGAUCCAUGAAGAAAUCAAUGUAGCCAUCUAACAUCUUUAAGUGCCCAGCCUAGCCACAAAUAUCAAGUCAGCUAUAGCACAGUCAUUAAAUCACUGAAAGGUAUAUAAUCCAGAGAGAAGACUACCAUUUCUCCCCUGAUGAGGGUUCCACCAAACAAGAUCAGUACUGAAUCAGAUACACCUGUAGAAUCACGAAUAAAAACAGUAUUCACUUUGACCUUCUCACUAAAGACCAACCAUGGAUAAGGGAUUGUCUGGUACUUCGCAUUUACAGAAUUCUGAUGCAAUAAAAACCAGCUUCAGUCAGAAUGAAUGACUCCAACCAAAUGCCGAAAGUGAAUAGAACUAGCUUUUGUAAACAAAAGGUCAACACAACUUCAACAACUAGAUAAAUUCUGUAUGCAUCUAAAGCAGACAUAGUCAAUUACUAGAAACAGUGUUCAUAUAUUACAUCAAAGUCAGUUAAAUCACACAAGCAGGUGCCUAGACACAUUUUGUAUGCACUGCAGUAACGAUUGGACACCCAGCAGGGUGGUCAUGGCUAGUUAAUGGCAGUAUAUAGAGCGUGGUAUGCUAAAUAUGGCAAAUCAUGGUCCCAUGUUGUCACGAACGGUCGUCGCGCACCCGCAACAACUCCGUUCAACAAACUGUUCGUCGCUCUCAUCUACAUGUACAGUUACUUGGCAGCCUGUUUUGCCUUGGUUUUGAGUCAUUUUGCUUGUAAAAAUGUAAACUCGAACAAGCUGCAGCGUUAUAAAGCGACCGCUCACCGAACCGAGCAAAACAGCCCCAAAACAGCCCAAAACAACUCCGUUUUCGUGUGCCGCGGGCUGAUUUCUGGAAUCUGCCUCCGCUCACCCAAACGUCAACCAUCUCAGCCCCUUGGAACCCCCCGGGUGGCACAGGGCUGGAUGGGGCUUCGGUAUAGUACCGGGCGUUGAGCACUCAUUCGCAAGUUCGCACGUUGCCUUGACGGGAACUUGUUGUCGUGCCCGGGACUCGAUGAGCAGCUGUUUGUGGGCUUGCAGCUGUUCGUUCAACCUUCUAAAGCCCUUGUUUUCCCCCUCUCCCUCUUUUCUCUUGUGCACGCAAGGUGCUCGCUGAAUUGCUUGUAAAGCCUCCCCUCUUUUCGCGAGACGUCGGGACUUGUCCGUCGCUCGUUCUUUCGAACUAAUCAGCUUUCUCUUUUACAGGUCCUUCGGGACCUGCGAGAGGUUACAAGUGGGCUGAUCUUUGCGGAGCAAUAUCGCAAGGGUGAAGCGCGACUUAGGCAACGCAAGCUAAGUUCGCGUCUUGGCCGCAAGGGUGCUUCACGCCUUAGGCAAUUCCAGCUAAGGCCGUGACAAUGUGGCAUACACCUAGUACAAAUUUUCCAGUCUGACACAAAUGUUAACCAAUUAACACAGGUAACAAACAUGAAAUCCUGGUGAAGUGUACAUACAUUGAAAAUUGAAUAUAUAGAGUCAAAUACUAGUAGAUGAACGUCACUGUUGCCCUAUAUUUUCAUGAUGUAAACAAGUUAGUUCAAAAGUUCAUCAUCAUCAAAUCUGUCCAAUCAAGAGUUUCUUAUCAUCAUAUCUGUCCAUUCAAGAGUUUGUGCAACAUCUUAUAAUAUCUUGUAAUGUCCAGAUUUCAAAUCGAUUUCCAUGGUUCACAGCUUUCAUCCUAAAAAUUAUAUAUGCAUGCAUCAUACAGCAACCUGCAGUAAUGUUAAUUUCUAUAGUUCCAAUGAAUCUCUUGCCUUCUAGUGUCUAAAAAGUAAAAUUGGAUGCAGUAUCUAUAUACUCAAAAGGACGGACAAAAUGUAGCAAUCAUUGCCAUAUUUUUCCCCUAUAAUAUGAUAAAUGAAAUGACUAUUAAAGACACAAAAAAAAAAAUCAAUUUACAAGUCUGCACUUACAGCAUAAAGUAGGACCUGGCCAUCAUCCAUCGUUUUGAAAGACAGAGACUUCUCUCUGUGCUACACAAGCAUAACACAAAUGAAAAAUGAAGUGCAUACAUAAGAAGGAAAAAUUGUACAAGCAAUUACAGAAAGAAAUAUGAUCAGCCCUUUACCACAACUGAUGCUAUCCCAGGAAAGAGUCCGGAGCAUAUGAUAGCACGGACCAGUGGCUGAUUAUGGCUUAAGCUGUUAUUGAUGCUGGAGUCAGCAUCUAAAAGACCAGAAUCUUUUAGAAUAAAACUAAAUUGCUUCCUAAGUGAAUGGAUAGCCUGAAGUGUUUGGGCUGAAAGGAAGUUCCUCCAGCAGUACUCAUAUGCAGAACCUUCUCUCUCUGCAUCUUUCCAUCCCUCAUAUGCACGGACAAGAGCCAUAUGAUCACUGUAGUCCUUAGCUGAGAAUCUUGAUUUUGCAGUUCCUGCCAACUGAACAGGAGAUACAAACUGAACGUUAAUCAUAUAUUUCAUUCUAACAGUACAUUGAUUCAAGAUGCAUCUCUCUAAUUACAAUAAGCUGUAGAGUACAAAUAUAGUGAUAAAAUGUCGCACAGAUGUCAAUAGUUAGAUGACUAAAUGAGGAUAAAAAAAUUAAAAGCAACAAACCAAUCCAAAUGUUUCAGGAUGACAGAAAAUGUUCAGAAUAUCAGAAGGGUUUUGUGAAAGUGUAGAGGAGGUUAUAUUGGCUACAGUCUCUACAUGACAACAACCAGGAAAUUCCAAAAAGUAAUUACACUUUAUGAAGAACACUAACACAUGUGAAACCCAAUGUAUUACAUAUUCUUCUUUUUGGAUUUUGAUGAAUAAAGAUACGGACUUACAUCCUUCUUGUCCUGCGGUAAGAGAAAAGGGUCUCUGACACUUAAUCCAGACACUACCGUAAGAACUGGAUCAAGGCAACGAAAGACAGCACCCAUGAUAAGCAUCUUUCCUAGCUUUGGAUCAACCGGAAGCACUGAUAGAUAUCGACCUACACAGUGCAAAGUCAAAGUUUAAGAAACAUAAAAUCCAGAAUACUCCAUGAUGCAACAAAAUAUAAAACCCUGCAUAUGGGAGACAAAGUAGAAAUAUAUAUAAGCUGGGGAGGACACCUCAGGUUUCAUAUUAAUUCAACAUCAUACCAAGAUUCGUAAGAUUUUCCUGUUCAUCUAGUGCCCCAAUCAUCUUCAGAAAUUCAACAGCAUUUUGGACCUGCAUAUAUCAAGAAAUUCAACUCCAAGCAGUGUACUGAAAUGCCAGAAACCAGCUAAUAUGGGAAAGAAGGAUUUUUGCUGGUGGCCAAUGAUAGGAUGGACAGCAGGUGAAACCAUGAUUUCUUAAACACCAGUCCAACACUACAUCUGACACAUUGUUGGAUCAGUUCAGCAACACCGACUUAUAUUGCUUUCUUUCAUUAAUAAAAUAGGGAAAACAAAUGCUGAUUAGCAUUGAGCCAUAUGGUCCAGUACCAAUCCUUCCUCAGAUUGGUAAAUAACAGUCAGAAUAUACCAGCACAAUCGAUAUUUGAAACCACAGGCACAACCAGCUCAUGCCUUCACCAUUUGGAGAACAAACAUAUUAACCACAUCAAUAAAACCAUAAUUUACAGAAAAAAACAUGUUUUGAUGCUAUGAAACACAAUCUUGUUGAGAACAAGCUAAAAAGGAAAACUCAGGUUGAUUAGAUAUCUCAAGAAACAAACUACCGUAAAAAAAAUUGUCAUCACUCCGGACAGGAACCAAACAAGCAAAGGACAAGCAAAGAACUUUCUUAGGCACAAAAAAGGACAUUUGAAAGUUUCAUCAGCCGUGCCCAAUUCACUUGAAGCCUUCUCGACAAGAGGACCCACUAAAGACUGUCAACUACCCCUCCCAGACCACUCUGAUAUCCCAUCCAGCCAUGUGUCACCCAGGAGGUUCCAUGGUCCUGAAACUGUUGUUCCACACUGAAAUUCAGCCCUAGAAAUUUCCCUGUCAUAGUAUAGGCUGUGAGGUUAGUUGGCCAAUUUCAGCAAUGCAGGAAUGUCGACCAACGGAAUGACUCACAAAGUGUUUGUACAACUACUGGGCGGUACAUGAAAAGAUGCAAAGACAUAGUGGACUUAGUGGUUGUUAUCGGCAUGUUGCAGCCGCCAGUGGCAGAGUACCAUCAUGGACCAGCACAGGACUGGUACCCAGAAUUGAAUUCCUUGGGUUUAAACAUUUACUUCUAAAGCUCAUGUCAUUCUGAUUUUGUUACAUUAAUCCAAUUAUACAUAACUUCUUAAUUUCCUAUAACUAAGUAACAAGGGAUCAUAUACCGAAUACCUCUUCCUCAAAAAAUAUCUUUUCCAUAUUAUACAAGAUUAUGCAUGAAUGUUCUGAAGAAGAGAAAAUUGUUUAGGAACUAGUGAUCCUAUAAGUGAGCUUUUGCAUCACUUACGGUGAGUGGUUCUGGUGGCUGCAAGGCAGCAGAUAAGAACUCCCCAAUGCUACCAACCUGCAAACUUUUUAUUUGCAAACAUAAGGAGUUCAAUGGAGUUCUUAAAAGCUCAGGAAGCUGAUAUUCUGCGAAGGCAUCAUAUACACAUCUAGGAUAGAGAUGGUAGCACUCCCCAGGCUGCACACGACCAGCUCUACCCCGCCUCUGCAAUCUCAUCAUAGAGAAAAUAAAAGAAUUAGCAAACAAGAUGGAGAGACAAAGUGACAAACAAUCAACCAAAAGAUUAAAAGUAUAAUGAAUUUAUGCAGUUUUGAACAGAUCAAGGAUGUCUCCUUCGGUAGGAAGUCAAGGAUGGCAUCAUCUGAUAAAAUUCUAAGUUGCCAAAAUAUUUGAGUGAUUUGACCCUCUUACAGAUAUUGUUGUUAAAGAUGUAGCUUUUGAUAACAAUAUCAUUCACAAAACAUGCAGCCACACAUUUUCAUCAGUUGAAUAUAUAACCUCGAUUUGCUCUUAUUUAUCAGGUAUUCUUUAUUACAUAAUUAAACAAUCAAAUGGUUAGAGUCAUAUACUAUAUAAAAGAAAAUGUCAAGAAAUUCAAGUUCUAUCUUCUCCAAGCUACAACUACGAAAUUCAACAUAAGGCAGUAUAUGAAAUUGAUUCAAACAAGAGACUUAAGAUAAAUAUAAGUGAUCAAACUGUUGCUUUUUCCUGACGGAUUUAUGCUGCACAUUGCCCAACAAGCACAGUAGUCAUGGAUAUAACGGGUUAAUGAUCAUAGUUGAUGGAAUUAUCUACACCUAAAAGUGGUUUACCGAGAGGAUCAUGUAAUAGUAGUUCUUUUCUUGGUGCAAGGCAUAGAGAAGAAUGCCCUCUUUUUUGCACCAUAUCUGUCACCAUGGUGUAUUCAGAUGCUUCUGUUUAGUACCAUUAAAAAAUUCCUUCUUGUGUUUAGAUGUAUGGACUAUGGAGUACUUCAUUAACCAUCCAUUGAGACAGCAUCACCACUUAUAGGAUUAAGAAUCAACCUUCGGUUUUGUCAGCUAUUUAAAUUGAUGGAUGGCAGCAUGUAGGUGAAAUGAAAUUGCAUUUACACAUAUUUCUAAAUUUACAGGCCGUCACUUGUGACAGAAAAGGAUAAAAAUUGGGUGACAUAUAAGACUUUAAUUAUAUAGGAUACAUAAUUUUUUUUGUAGGCAAGAAUAGAAGCCUCAUAAAUCAAAUAAGUCCACUGUUAAUGUCAACGUCCUUCAAUUUUAUUCCUUUGACCUGUUUUGCAAUAGAAGGGUCUGGUGUCAAACUCAUGGAUACAAUUAUCACAUGCAGAUUGUUGCAGGUGGAUGUGGCGUCCCACAUAAUGCCAAAUCAACUGUCUUAUGGAUAUCCCACUAAAUAAAAUUAUUCAAAGAUAGAGAAGAAAAUAUAAUUUGCAUAUGAAUAAGCAAUGAAAAUGGCAAUCAUUCUUAUUUCAAAAUUCAAAAGAAAAUCAACAGAUGAAUCACCAACAAAAACAAGAAAGUUUGAGGGAAAUAUCUUACUUGGCGGGCAGAAGCUUUAGAGAUCCAGGAUGGCAGCAAGCAAGGCGUAUUAUUCAGUGCAUCAUAGGUGGUCUCUUUUGCUUUACCACAGUCAACAACAAACACAAUAUCAUUGAUUGUAAUACUUGCUUCAGCCAUGUUUGUUGCAAGGACUAUCUUUCGUAUAUUAGGUGGUGGAUUUUCAAAUAUGAGUUUCUGCAUAUUACCAAUGGACAGUAAGUGACUGCAAAAGAGAAAAGUGCAGCAUCAAAUUGAAUGACUAUGAAUGACAGAGUUUUCUUAUCCGACAUAUAUUUUUAUUAUUGGGAGAACAAUUAGAAUACCAAAAUAUUUCAUCAACAUGAAGUUAUAAGCUUUGCAUUGGACAAUUAAUCUAGUCCCUCAGGCCAAUUGAUGCACAUCAUGAUCUUUCAAGAGGGGCCAAUAACAAGUAAAUCACACUACCCAAUAGGCCUAUGAUUCUUCAACCAGAGAAGCAUACUUUGCAAUAUUACAAUCUAAUAACACAUUCCUUCAUCACCCCUUCUAAUUUUUAUAGAUUUCUUUUUCUCCCGCAGCUUGUUUCACAUCUGAAAGGAUAUUGGGUUGUACUCUCAAGUCUCAAGAAAGAGGGUUAAUAAACUUUGGCUUGAGCAGGUAAAUUUAAAAGGCUUAAAUAAAUGACAUGGUAUGAAAAUCUAAUAAAAACUCAAAUAUGGUUGAAAUAACUGCAACCAGCACAACUUAAGUAGGUACAGAUGUUUUAACAAAUAAAUAUAGCAUUACAAAAACUAAUGCCUAAUGGUUAUUAGCAUUAUGUAUAUACCAUCAUACUUGAUCAAAGAGGGACAUUAGCAUCAUCUAAUCAAUGUUUUUUGCAAUAAUAGCAAUUAUUCUAAUUCUAGGAAGACCUACAGGACUCAACAUCAGCAGUAACAAUGUCCAAUAACAACAAUAAUUCUAUCAAUGUUUUUUGCAAUAACAACAAUUAUUCUAAUUCUAGGUAGACCUACAGGGCCCAACAACAGCAGUAACAAUGUCCAAUAUUAAAGAAGCAUAAUCGGUGAGAUUUGACCCUACAAACUUUUCCAUUAGGAACUUAACCACUAAAUCAAAGCCUUGUUAUUUAAGUUGAAAUUUACUAUCUGUAUAAUUACACAAGUUCCACUAGUAACCCAGACUCAGGAGAGUUUGGAACCAACCUGAGAGGCUCAACAUAAGCUACAUAGCUAAUUAUAUAACUUGGUCAAAAUUUCCGUCAAGUAUUUUUCAACUUUGAGUUGCUCCGUAGAUCCAAUCUUAUAUUAAUGGGACCCAGACCUGGGCGAUGACACCUAUAGUUAACAUUCCACAAUAUGGAACAAGUGUAUAUGAAGUAUGAACAAAGUUCUGAGACAUACCAAUGAAAAUGAUCUUCACUGUUGAUAUUACCAGCAUACAGUGGCAUUCAAGUUCUAGUUUCCUAAAUGACUAGCGCCCAAAACUAUGUGAAAUACCCAAACUAAAUAGCUUUAUAACCAACACAGGAAGAUUAUGGAAUGUGACUUCCAGUAAUGUAUGUUUUUAUAUGUUUCAAUGCAGAUCAUAAAAAUUAUUACCCUUCAAAUCUAUGAGAAUGACCAAUAAUGACGAAAGUAGGAGUUCAGCCAUGACAAAACUAAGAAUUUCUCAUUUACAAUUAGCAAUUGAAGACUACUAAAAAGUAGCAUAAGAUGCAAUUGAAAAAACAAAAUGAUGGAAUCUUCACCAUUGAAAAAUUACCUGCUCAGAAGUAGCCAUAGAACCAUGACAUGUAAGUACCAAAACCCUGUUUGGAUCUCCUAAGAGAGGAUGAGCCCUCAGCUGAUCCCUCAAGCAACUAAUGUCAUCCCAACCAGUCAUAAAUACAAGGACAGCACCUGGUCGUUCCUUACGACAUAUAUGACACAGAAUAGCCUCAAUAAGAUUAAAACCUAUGCAAUCAGGUGUCCAGGAGGCCAAAGAAUCACGUGCUCUGGAACUGUAUCCCUCAAAACUUGAAUUUUGAAGAGCAUCCUGCAUCGGAAAAGCAGCAACAUAUAAAAAAAAAUGUCACUUAUUCAUCAGAUUCUGCCAUGCAUACUAGUACCUCAACAAGUGCAGUAAUCUGAUUUUUUCUUUUACGUGGCAUUAGCUGCCUCUGAGUCUUCCAAAGUUUCUCUUGGCCAUAGUCAUCAAUUUGGUUAAAAGAAGUCAGUUUGUAUCCAGUUUUCUCAAGUAUAUCUUCAAGAAACUGCGCCCUUACAGGAUACGUGAAACCCUGAAGCCAACAGAAGAUUUUCUUUUAUCAUAGCUUCACAAGCACUCAACUUUCAAUCAAGGCUCAGAACAAAUUGUAGACAAUGUUGAUGAAAAUGAUGUUAAUGAAUGGUCUCAAAUUGGAAUCUACAAAAAGCUAAUCUAUGGAAUUUUGAGUCAAGCAUGCUAAGAGCACAGAGAUAAAGGUGGUUAGAUAUAGCUUUUCUGAUACAUACCAUAAAAAAGGUGAGGUUCAGAAGAAAUAUUAUGCAUAACAAUAUAGAAAGUAAAAGAUAUAGGAUCUAUAAUUCCAGCAGAUAGCAUAUAAAUGUCUAGAAUUUAGAUACUAGUUGAACAGUUAAGUAUUAUGCAGAUCACCCUGAAACUCGAAAACAAUCAUAGAUGGGGGUAUAUUUGAUAGUUUUUGACACAUAGCAAACUAUCAAAAAUACCGCUGAGUGUGGUAUCUAUGAUAGUUUCUGAGUUUUAAAGCAAUAUACCAGUUAUAUUCAAUUUAUCAAGGACCAAAUUUAGUAUUUUCAACAUUUGCAGGAUCAUAAACAGAAUUUUCCUUUUAAAAAAAGUGCACUUUUAACCAAUCUAGAUAACAUUUAUUUAGUGAAGAGUGGGUUCCUGAUAAUAGAAUCUGAUCCGUCUUCAACAAAACUCCUGUAAGUUAAGAAGUUAUGUAAAUAUAAAUCACAACUCUUUCUAAGGAAUCACAAGAAUUUUCAAACAGUAAGGAGUUCAUGGUAAAUGAAAAAAAUAAAUAAUAUAGAAAGAUAAAGAGACAGGUAGAUGUUCAAAGAGUACUAAAGUAUGUACUAGACAUUAGCAUACUGGAAUAUGGAUUGUUGGAGCUCCUCCAAAGUAGUUUGAAAACAAUUCAGCAUUCAAAGUUGCACUCAUCAAAAUUAAUCUCAAAUCACGGCGACGUGGAAGAAGGUCCUUUAACACAAUCAACAAGAAAUCUGCACAUCACAGAGGCACAUAUGCAAUCUUUACAAGCAGUAAGCUGGGCUCAAAUAAUUCUUGCAAAAAAGGGAGGCAAAUCUGUUUGUAUUAUAAAUGCCAUGCACCUUCAUUCAUGCCUCGUUCAUGAAUUUCAUCAACAAAAACAUGAGUUACACCAUUCAAAUUUCGGUCUCCAAGCAAUCUUCUUAGCAGAAUUCCACUGGUACAAAAGAGGAGAUGUGUAUUCUUUCCCUUCAUUCCCUCUAAUCGAACUUUGUAACCAACCUACCACAAAAGGGUAAUGUCUAGAACAAAAGAUUGUACAGAAAAUUUCCUAGUAAGCAUAUUUAAACUAGUUGUAUACACCCAACUGGAGAACAUGAAUAUGCAAAAACUUACUGUUUCACCAAGAUUUUCUCCUCUUUCUGCUGAAACUCUUUCAGCAACAGCCAUAGCAGAUAUUCUUCGCGGUUGUGUACAAAUGAUGUUGCAAAAUGCCCCACGCCCAGAUUCUAUCUCAGAUUCUAGAACAUACUGAGGAAGUUGAGUUGUUUUACCACAUCCAGUUUCCCCAGAAAUUACUAUGACCUGAUGAGGACAUAGAUGGUAAGUAGCAAAAGACUACCAAACAAAUCAAGCAGUCACAAACUGAGAAGUAUAAACAUGAAAAUUUAGACAAUGUUUUCAGACAUAAAAGGGUUAAACAAAAUGGUACAACAUAAUUGUCUAGUCAUCUCAGCAGAAACCAGUUAUACAUAAUAUGUAACGCAAGUACUUGAAUCUACUCUUAUUGUUAUGAAAAUCUCCGGAAACAGAAAAGCUUGACAUGCCUUAAAAUAAUGGAAAACUUUGAAAGUCAAGGAAAAUUAAUGGCCGCCAAUCAACUACAGAAAAAAAUUCAAUGUAUAUAAAAAAAUCAUGAAAUAAACAGUAAAUAAAAAUCACCCUCGGGUUGAUCAUAUCCACACUUUGCAGCACAUCCAACUUUAGUUGAAAAAUUGUCUAUCCAUGUCCACUUCAGCCCAUAUGGACAGCAUAAUAAACAAAUGUUUACCAUCUUUCUUCAACUAGUACUACCUCCAAUUUAUCAUAAAUACUUAUUCAUAUCAACAUCCCCAUGUCAGAAAAUUCAAUUUUCUCCACGUGAUGGGGUAAAAUAUAACAAUGUUAAGUUAGUUUCCUUUUCUACCACAAAGCCUAAUUGGUUCGUGCUGAACCGUAAACUGCCACUGUCAAAAGUGUUACCAAAAUGAGUUUGUAAACAAGAAAAAUUAAGGUCUCAUUGCGCAUAAUUGAACUCCAGUAACAGCUCAAAGAAGGACAAAACCAGUACAUGGUUUCCACCAAUGAGGUCAAUGUACAGUCUUAUCCUCAUAAGCAAAGAGAAUAUUCCAGUGAUUCAAAUACUUGGCACCCUGGUUACAAAUGGACUAUCUUUUUUUUCCAUUUAAAUGAAAGUUCCUUGUCCUAGUAAUGCUAAAAUAGACCCUUCAACUUGAAGAUAGUUCUCUUCCAUAAUGCAACUUGUAGCAAUCAAACAGGCAUGAUAUUUAAAUAUGAAAUGCGACAUAUUUUCAUGAAAAACACUUUAAAAGGUAUCUUGGCUUAAAGUAAGACCUGAUUGCGUGCAAUAGCAGAGAGGAGUCCGUCCUUCUCCUUGUAUGCUGGAAGUGAGUUUCUAAAAUUCAGCAUCUUCACACCCUCCGGUGAGUCCUGUUUAACAUAAAGGUCAUACCAUUUUUUCUUAUAUAUAUAAACUAAAUUCUCGGAACAAGAAAGAAAAAAGAUUUAGCUUACUUGCAAACACACUAUCUUAAUUUAGAGAAGAAAAAAAAAAGAUCUAAUGUAGGUUUCUGGUAUCACAACUUCACACCCAAUAUAGACCACCUGGUUUCCCAACAACUUUGUUUAGAAAUUGUUAUUUUUAGGAAUUCUAACCUCUGGGGUUUAAUCCCCAUUUUUGGAAUAAAACAUUUAACAUGAACUGUAAUUCCAAGGCAUCAUUUUAUAACUGUUCGGAAGGAUUUGCCAACCUGACAAAUAAUGGUUCGACUUGUAUUUCCAAAUGUAGGGCCCACAACUUAUAAGAAAAUAAAGUUAAAGCGACCUUCUCUCCUUCCAUGCUAUUUACUUAUUCAUUUCAUGUUAAGACUUUCCUAAGAACAACAGGGUUAACUUCAUAAAUCAAUUCAUUAAAUACUUUUAGAACAUCAUAAUUGGCUUCCUAUAUGAUACUGAUUCCAAAAAAAAUGUACGAGUGACAAAAACCCUUGUUUCAACCAUACGAGAUCACCAUAUUUCAGAUUAUGUCAUAAAUGCAAAGGUAAAACUGUGCCUCUGCUACUAGUGAAGACCAGCACACCACCAAGCAUUAAGAUCAACCUGCCAAGUUCUUUGCAAGUUCCUCAUUCGUAUGCUCUUUCUCUGAAGUAUCUUUUCCAUGACUGAACUGUCAACCAAGGAAUCCUGGUUUUCAUCAACAUCUACAUCUUCCACAUCCUUGCUGGAAGAACUACGUCCCAAUUCAUCAUUGACAAUGUUGGAUGCUAAUAGCACCCUAUCAAGGUGUUCUUGCAGUAAACCUUCAACCCUCCUCUGCAAGCUAAGAGGGAUCAUCACCUGUAACACAAGCACUCACUCCAGAACAGUGAACUUGCUGGUUCAGAAACAACAAAUAAAAUUAUUAACCUUUGACACACUACAUACUUCUCUUUGUGGCCGCUUAUCAUCAAGAUCAGGUCUAUAAUUAGGCAGAGGAACCUUGCUGGCAACCACCACUUUUCCAUAAAGCUCACUGUGCAAAUAAUAAAAUGCAUAUUAAGGAUAACAAUAUGCUGGCAAGCAAUAAUUUUCUUUUAGGACACAACUGAAGGAUGUGCAGCGGUUGUCACCUGUAGAGACCCAUUCGUUUUGCAAGAUUUGAUAUUUGUUCAUAAUCACGUCGGUCUCUUUUGUCCCUGGAAAUAAUCUCUUGCUCUUCAGUGCCGCGUAAGAGCAAACUAAGUUUCCAUCUCCAUUCAUCAAUGUUGGCCUCUGAAGAAGGCUGCAGACAAAUUAUCGUCCUGAUUACUAAAAUAACAGAAAAAGGGCUCGAGAAACAACUAAGCUUUUGAAUUCGAAAGUUCAAAGUUUCCAUUAGUAAUUUAACUAAAUAAGAAGAUCAGUUGACAUCCUGACAGCUUAAAUACAUUUCGUAAACGCCCAGAGUCUAUCAAAAGUCCAGGAAAGUGAGCAACCUCGGAUAUGGUCAUUUUGAUACUCUGAAACAUAAAGUACUCUCUGGAAAGUGAAUCGACCAAUUUUCCACUUCAUAGAACAAUUCCAAGAGCUAUUAAAUCCAAAAUUCAAUAUUUAAUGGACCUUAACUUAACUAAAGCACACACGACUUAGCAAGCAAAAGAACUUGUGGAACAAACCACAAUCCAUACCUUGUGGCUCUCGAAUUCGCACUCAUACUCGUCGUCGGAGAACUGUUCCACGGCGUAGCCGCAGAAGCCGCGCUGCCACCGAUAGCAGCAUCCAGCAUUAACAUCUCCACCAGUCGAGGAGAUCGAACGCCGCGAGAGGAAAGACAAGGCUCCGACCUUUCGACCCAAUGACGUUGCCGCGAACCUCUCGGGUCUAAGAAGCGACGCUAAGCCGAACCCUAAUCCGCGACGCAUCAUGCUAUGGGGUCAUGGUGACCCAACCCUUGCGCUUCCAGGUCGCCGACGCCGGGGAACAGUCGUCGUAGAGAUUGAAAGGUGGGGACUUCCCGCUAGGGUUCUUCUUUAUUUUGACGGGGAAGUGAACAAGAGACGGAAUUUAGCGGUGCGCCGUUGGGUACGGGUUAGCAGUGCGGCGUGAGCCACGGUUCACUCUUUCCAUCGCAGGCAAAACUUCUAUCGCAUGCCAGUGUAACUGGACCGUGGGCCCCGCGGCAGAGAUCAGGAGACAGAAAGCUAAACCCUGUCUCGAUUAAGAUAUUGCGUGGGCAAAUCUGAGUGGACGAGGAAAUAUUAUGGAGUGUAUAAGACUGUUUUGACUGCAGUAAAUGAACAAUCUUAUGCUCCUUUGAUGCUUAUAUGUUACGAUAAGCCUAUUCGAAUAUUUAUUUUGAUUUUUUUUUUUUAACGAAAGAAUGGAGGGCUCAUAAAUGUAUGUGUAUAUUAGUAGUAGGUUUUUUUUUACCAAAUAUAAAUAGUAGGUUAUUCUUAGUAUAAAUAAUAUCAAUAAGAGAGUUUUUUGCUUCCAAAUUUAAAUAUGGUGUGGACAACCUUAUUAGUAAUAAUUAUAUUAUCAUGAAUGUUGUGACCUCUCAUGAAAACAGAUGGACUAUAGUUGAUCAUAGAAUAGGAAUCAGUUUAAGUGAUAGUACCGUAGUAAAAAUCUUAUAGAUAAUAUUAAAAAAAAAAGACUGUGUCUCAAAUCAUAUAUCCUUUUAGGGCUAAUGACUUUAGGAAUAAAUAUUAGAAAAAAAUUAUUCCAGCUAGGAGGAAUAAUGAUAGAAUUAUAAAAAAUUUUAAAUGCAACAAAUAUAUAGGGAUUGAGAAUUUUCUAAAAAUAAUAAAAGAAUUCAAUCAUAAAUCCAUAAUAUAUGAUACUAGCUAACAAAUUCAUGUAAUAUUUCUUUAACAUCAAAGAUCAAACAUUGAGAUUAAAGAAGGAUAAAUUGAAUAUUAUUUUUCUUAAUCCCGUGACUAACCAUUUUAUGAAAAAAAUUAGUAUUAUUAUCAAUCUCAUUCAUCCAUUGAGUUUUAACUCUAGACCAUUAUUUCAAGUAUCUCUAAAGGAUCAUAAGCUUUCUGUUAAGCAUACAAAGGUUGACAUAAUCAUUGUUCGAUAGCAGUGGACUUAAGUUUUCUUUAUUUUUAAAGGUAGCAAUUUCAUCAAUAGUAUUCUUGAUAUUACUUUCAAGAGGUCUUAGCUUACUCUAAGCAGCCAUCUUUCUACUCGUACUGUCAAACAUUGAGUGGAUGUGGACUAUGAGAUUAGAUACAAUAGGAGAAUAAGUUGUAGUCUCAAUAACAAUCUAAGAAAUACCUUCAUAGUCUAAUGCCUCGUAUCUAAAAAUAAGUGGCUUAUGAGUAGCAUUUGGGGUGGGAUUUAUUUUGAGCAUGGUCGAAUAAAACUUUUGGAUGAUGUCGAAUAAAAACAUUUAGAAACAAAGAAAUCCAGUAAUCAUUUAUUAGGGCUCUAUCAAACUUAGCAAAGAUCACCUAAUAUUUUUAUUAGUCUAGAUAAACCGAUUGCCAUAAAACCCUAAGCCAAUCAACCCGAACUUAAACAAAAAAUUAUAAAAGUUAAGCACUGAGUGAUUCAACUGAAAAGGUUUGCCUCUUAAUUUCUCAUACGAAAAAUGAUAUAGUUUAAGUUACCACAAACAAUCUAUGAAAUAAAGUCAAAACUAAUACUAAAUAAUCGAUUCACGAGGGAGUGAUCAAUAUAAGCAUGAUUACUGACAUAAAGAGAAGUAAAAAGCCAAGAGUUUUUAUUAUACUCCUCAAUUAUCAGGUAUAUACUUGUUGAUUCUUAUAUAUUUUUAUAGUCAGCAAGUGAUUCUUUCUCUAAAUAACAAAUAUAGUAGCAUAUGACUUCUUCUCAUAAAUAUUCAGUCUUAAUUAAUAGUACUACUAGGGACAAAUUAUGAGUCUUAAUUAAUAGUCUUAAAUGACUUUGCCCCUCCUUCUAUCGUGCGCUCCUGUAAUUCUAUGUCAAGAACAGUAUAAAAAAGAAUGGUUAUAAAAAAGUAACAUUUAGGAUCGAGUUGGACUUUUAAAUGGAGAAGCACGGAGGUCUUCUUCUUUUUAUUUUUUUAUUUCAGAGUAAUGAAAUAAGAAUUCAGGAUUCCUUAAAUUCCUAUACAGCAGGUCUUCUGAUUUAGUUUCUCUAGCCUAUUCUAGGCCAUCCUCUUUCAAAAGAAAAUAUCUAUCACAUAAGUCUAAGACUGUUUUUGCUGAAUAAAAUGCCUCAAUCACCUACGUCACUAAUUCCUCAAGGUUUAACCCAACUUCCUUAGUAAAGGGAGUGGGGGCCUCAAAUCACCUUUGUUCAUUAUUCCUUAUUUUAUGUUUGGAAGUGAAUGUUACUCUUUCACAACAUAAACCAUAGGGUAGAGAUCCCUAGGUUUAUGCCCUUUGGAUCACUCGAAAAUGUGCCAAAGCUAUACAAUUAUACAUUGUUUUUAAGGGUAGAAAAUACCUUACUGAAAGGAGAUAGAGAUGUGCUAAGAGCUAUCUUCGCAUGCUAUACAGAGGCAUCGUCUACCAUACCUCCCAUAUGUCUCAAAUAAGAAGUAACCUACUUACCAUUAAAGCCUUCAUUUACCUUUAGUUUCAUAGUGGCCCACUUAAGAUGAGUAGGUUUGUUGUCUUUGUUAGCCAAAGGAUCAGCUCCUACUUUGAGUGAACUCAUUAACAUGAUCAGCCGAACCAGAGAUAAAGCCAUUAUUAGAGAUCGACCCAUGAUCGUUAGACUCCCUAUUGGGCUUGGACAACGACCUAAGGUGCCCUUCAAGGUUGACCUACUCCAAUCUGACCCGGUUACUCCUUCGAACCUUGAUCCAAGGCUUGUAUAAGGUAUCAUCUUUUUCUCUAGGUAUCGGUUUAGAAAUCUUAUGUGUAUUAUCACUAUGCAAUUUGGGAAAAACAAUAGACUUAUGUGAAACAUAAUACUCUAAACGGUGACCCACUAUAUCAUAAUUAAAACAAAGAUUAGGGAUAAUCUGAUAAGCAAUAGUUUGAAAAAUCUUAUUGGAUCCAUCUCUUAUCCAAAAAUCUUACAACAAUGGCUUAGAAAAAUCCAUUAAGAUAUAAUAAAUUUUUCAUAAAAAAUUAGUUAUCAUGAUAUCAUUUAUCGUUAGCGACUUUCCAAUCACUAAGGCUAUUUAUAGAAAUAAAAUAAAAUUAAAGAAUUUAAUAAAUAAUUUAAAAAAUUAAACCCAAGUGUUGAAACUCUUGUCUCUAAGGAAAUAAAGAUAAUGCUUGGCCUUUGAGAAACCAAGGUCCUCCUGUGAGAACCUUCUCACAGGGUGAAAUCCUUAUCAUUCAUAAAAGGGAAAGCAAAAAAAAUUAGAGGCAAAGGUCUAUAGUAUGAUGGGGAGAAAAAAAUACCUCAUUUCUUGAUAAAUUCUAAAAAAAAUCAAGAAAGGAUGUUCUUCCGAUUAAUAGAUCAAGUUUUGCAAAUAUUAUCUAUCUUUUUUUUUUUCGUUCAAAAUCAGUUCUAGAUUUCAUGAUGUUUAUAUACGAUUCGAUUUUUCUUCUAAUUUUACUGAAAACUUUCAUGCAUCGACAUCACGAACAUGACUGAAGAAGCCCCACUCAGGACGUGGAUACUAUAUAUUUUUUUGCAAGAGAUUGAGAAUUAAAAAAAUAAAAUAAAUCAUUCAUAUUUUGGGCGGUUGUGGAAGAGGAUCCGUAACCAUUCAUAUUUUCAAUAUAUAUAUAUAUAUAUAUAUAUAUAUAUAAUAAUAAUAAUAAUAAUAAUAUAUAUAUAUAUAUAUAUAAUAAUAAUAAUAAUAAUAAUAAUAAUAAAUUACCUGAGAUGAAACUCCAGUGUCAGGGCGAGAGGGGCCACGGGACGGGGAAGGAAAACCAGGCGGAUUUCGUGUCGCCGCUGGACAAAACGAGAGCCGCGUUCACGCCUUCACCGCCCUGUUCUAUCUAUCUUUCAAUAUUUUAACCAAGUAAACGACUGCAUAUUAUUUUGUCAACCUUGUAACACGUUAAGAGCUGAGUACUAAAGUUGAUGGCUGUACACAACAAAGCUGUGCAAAUAGCAUGACAAACCCACAGAAAAGUGGGUUUGGUGAAAUGGAUACCUUGUUCUCAUUAUCCUUGUUUUGGGUGACUAUUCUUCAAAUUUUCAUUCCUCUUUCCUUCUUUGCAGUUGAUCAAGUGUUCGACAGAUUUUGUUGUCCUCCUUUGUCUCAGCUCAGCGACCAGAGUUCGUCAAUAGCACAUCUGUGGCAUCUAACAAGUCAAGAUGGAAGGACAUCUACCAUCUACUCUCUCUUUUCUGGUGAAGCAUCCCUGUCACUUGGAUCAGGUAGAGAAAAUGGCGGACUUUAAGGGAAAAGGUUGCAAAGUGUUUGACAUAAAAUAACGUAUCCUUUUCUCCUUUGUUGAUUCAUACGUCAGAAAAAUCUGUGGGUGGACAUGUCCCUACUUCACAUCACUUGGAUCAUUACAACUACUUCGAUCCACCAGCCGUGGUUGUGCCACUCACUGUGAUGUCAACCGGAACCUGAUCUUUCCCUUUCCCCGUCUUCUUUCUUCUCAUCAAAGGCGUUUGUCUACUUCUGCCAAUUCCCAACGUAGCCAUGAAGAGAACUUGGGUUGCAUUCAGAAGAAAGAAGAUGGCACUGCGAUUAUCAAGUAGAUAAAAGCUUGGUGUUCAUUCGGGAAGCAAAUCAAUCCAAUCAUUAAAAAGAUAGUUUUUUUUCUGGAUAUUUGUUCUACCAAUUCUUGCGUUUUUAUUCGUUAUUCCAUGCUUAUCGAUAUUGUGAAUAUUGUGAUCCACAAUAAAAAAAAAUUGUAAACGAUCACUUGAUCGAUUCAUUUAUAAAGGAAAACGUACAUUGAAAAAGAAAUAAUAAUUUAAAAAAGAAGGAAAUAAUCAUUGGAUUAAUGUGGUCUACAUUUAUUAAUAAUAUAUUUAUAAUUAUUCUUUUUAUUAUCUUUAAAUGCAAUUUAGUUCUUUAUCACUUGUAUAUAAAUCCAAGUUUAUACACAAUAAACACAACUCACUUAUAUUCUAUCAUGUUCUGCUAGUUUUCUUACAUGAUGUGUGUCGAUCAACUCUUCCAAUAUAACAAUCGAAAUAUUUAUCUUAUAUUCUAUACUCAAAUAAACCUAAUUUUCUAAUUUAUAAUAAUUAGAUGUGCUAAAAUAAACAAUAAAAAAGGAAAAAAAUAAAUAAAGAUGUGAAACAUUAUAAUUUGAGAAUGGAGAAAUAACGAAGGACAUUUUGGUCAUCUUGGAAAAGGCGACGAACAUUUCCAACUCGGAAUCCCUCCCCCUUGCCGCUACCUCCUUCCCCCGUUUCCCUAUAUCAACCAAAGUCCACUUCGAUUGCUAGAUCCGAAAAAGUUCCUUCUUUUGCUCCUCUUCCUCUCCUCUCCCACCGAUCCUUACCUCUCUUCUCACUCUCUUCCAAUGGCUGCUGCCUCUACUCCUCAAUCUUUCCUCCUCCAACACCCCCUUUAUCCCUCUCUCAAAACCCUCUCUUACAUCCCCUCCAAGCAGCACCUCCGACCAAGACCCCGCCUGUCCACCGUCUCCUGCACCGCCGUCCACCCUGCUCCCGCCUCCGUCUCCGUCACCAAGGAUCAGGGCCGCAUCUUUAACUUCGCCGCGGGACCGGCCACCCUUCCGGAGUCCGUGAUCCUGAAGGCCCAGUCGGAGCUGUACAACUACCAUGGCUCCGGCAUGAGUAUUAUGGAGAUGAGCCACCGCGGCAAGGAGUUCGAUGCCGUCAUCAAGAACGCUGAGUCCGACCUCCGCCGCCUCCUCGCCGUCCCUGACGACUACGCCGUCCUCUUCCUCCAGGGCGGCGCCACCACCCAGUUUGCCGCCGUUCCCCUCAACCUCUGCGCACCCGACGAUGCUGCGGACUACAUCGUCACCGGAUCGUGGGGCGACAAGGCCUUCAAAGAAGCCCAGAAGUUCUGCAAGCCUAAUCUCAUCUGGUCUGGUAAAUCUGACAAAUACACCAAGAUCCCGCCUUUUGAAGGCCUCGAGCAGAACCCCAACGCCAAGUACCUGCACAUUUGCGCCAACGAGACGAUCC